AACUAGUAGUAUGUUGUUUUAGUUGUAGGAUUUUUUUUUUUUUGAUAGAUAGGUACGUAGCAUGCUAUCUGUUUCGUUUAUUUUAUUUAAAAAUAAAUUUUGCUGGAAAUGUGAAUCAACUAGGAUUCGAACGGGAGACUUCGGAUAUCGACCGCUAAGCUCUUUGCCGUUUGCGUUAGGGACGGUCGGUAGUUGUAUGAUAUUUAGGAGUUGAUACUGAGGUUGGAGAUUGAGCUACUGUGUGUGCUCAAAUUUAGAGAGAGAGAGAGAGAGAGAGAGAGAGAGAGAGAGAGAGAGAGAGAGAGAGAGAGAGCAAAUCAAUGGUAUCUAGUUUAGUGAUAAGGUGUAUAGUAGGUGAUAUCAAGGUCAAAGAUCUAGCUGCUAUGUGUACUUAAAUUUGGAGCUCGUAUUCCUGGCUUCAGUUUUUUUUUUUUUUUUUUUUUUUUUUUUGAAAAGAACACCAUAAGGCAUUUAUUCCAUAGGAUAAACAGUUACAGACUUCUCAAACUCUACGAAAGAAGACCAACUUGAAGCUACCUGGGAACCAAGGCCCCAUUUAACUAGUUUAUCAACACAUUGUGAAAAAGAACUAUAUCUAGAAGACCACCCUAUAAGAAUAUUAUUAUUGGACUCCAAAAGGCGUCGAAGCGAAGCAAUACGCUCUAAUUCUUGUAGUGAAAACAUGAUGCAUGUGCUUGUCCUUAAACAAACAGGAACGAUUAUUUAGAAGAUUCGUGUAAAUUGAGCACUUGAUAUUAGGCCGAUUAAUUAUUUAGAAGCCACUUAACCGCCUCAGUACAUGCUUGUAUCUCUACAGCAAGAGUAGUUUCUGAAUCGAUAGAAGAUGCUGCGCAACAAUAAACGACCACAUCCCCUUCUACAAUUAAAUAUCCAAUUCCACCCGAGCGAUUUUCCUUCCAAGCACCAUCCACCCAACAGAUGGUAUUUGGUCGUGAAAAAGAAUUGAUAGUGGCCGGAUCAGGAAUAUGGAGAGGCUGAAGGUGAGCUUUGCUAUAGAGCUUCGUCCAUAUUCUCGCAUUCCUCAAAACUUCCAAACACGAAAAUUUCUUGUGCUAAAAAAUAUAAUCAUUUCGUGCCUAAUUCCAAAUGGACCACAACACAUGCAUGCAGAGAGAGAGAGAGAGAGAGAGAGAGAGAGAGAGAGCAAACCACUGAUAUCUAGUCUAGUGGUAAGGUACUUAGAAUUUGAUAUCAAGGUCGAAGAUCGAGUUGCUAUGUGUCCUUAAAUUUGGAGAUGCUACAUAUUCCUAGCUUCUGUCUCAGUGUGUGUGUGUGUGUGUGUGUGAGAGAGAGAGAGAGAGAGAGAGAGAGAGAGAGAGAGAGAGAUGUAGCUUAGUUUGGGUUAGCCAACCAAGCCAACCUAUCUUAAGCUAUAUUCAAAUGUAAGACCCUUUUCCUCAAUUGGGUCAUCCUCAUUGACCACUCCACUAAACUCAAGAAAAGAAGUUUAAGUUAUUGACAAAUUGCAUAAUUUUUAAUCUAAAAAGAAUGAGAGGGAAUUAUUUGAAGGGGAGGCAAGAUAAAAUGAGGUUUUGUGGAGCUAGAGAACAUCUUAUUUUCUAAUUAUCAUGAUUCUAUUCUAAGGUUUGUUUUAGAGGUAUGGGUCAGUUUGGGGGCAGAUUUUCAAAAAUCCGAAAUUCAAACCGGAGUACCAAAAUCAAAAUUCGAACACAAAUUCGAUUUUGAAUCUGUCAGAUUAUGAAAAUUCAUAUCCAAAUCUAGACCCGACAAUAAAAAUGAAAGCCCAAACUGAACCCAAACAUUCGAACCCAAAAGUGAUUAUUAUUUUUUUAUCAAAUUUCAAAAUAUAUCACAUUCAAAUCUAAAAUUUUAAAAUACAAUUUAAUUAUGUUAUAUAUUAUAUAAUAUAAAAGUGAUUGGGAUUUUUGUUCAGUUUUGGUUCUGGUUCAAAUUUGGAUUUAGGUUUAGGUUCAGGUUCAAGUUCAGAUCGAGUACCGAUGAAAAUCAUAUCCAAACUUGAAUCCAUCAGAAUUUUUCUUCUUUUUUUACUACCCAUAGUCGAAUCCGUACCCGUUUAUCAUCAUAUAAAUUCAUCCUGCUCAAAUUCGGGUUCAGAUUAUUGGGUUCAAGUUUUCGGGUUCGGCUUGGGGUUUCAAUUUUUCGUCGAACUCCAGAUUCUAUGCUUAUUUCCAAUCAGCAAUUUAACUUAUAAGCAAGCUUAGCUAUUCUAGCAAUAAAUAUACACAUAUAAUUAAAACCAUCAUUAAUAACUUAUAUAUGCAAAACUAGCUUGUCAUAUUCAUACUUUUGUUGAUACUCAAAGAACCCAAGACCACUAGAUAAGGGACAAAUUAAUUAGGCAAGAGAUGGAGACCCCCACCAAUAUUAAUUUCUCUUCUAAGCAAAGCAGUACAUGCUUGGAAAAAUUUCCAUAUUGCAUGAAUCAAGUUAAUUAGCUUAGGUCUAAACAGGAAUAGGGAGUCUCUGAUUCGCUGCCACGUGGCAAGAAAUUAAGAUUUCUUAACGAGAUGUUGUUGGGAAGCUAUUUACUGAAGUUUUUUCCGUCUGAAUAGUAUAGUCUCUAUGCAAAUUUGAAAAUGCAAAACAAAUUUGGCAAAUGUGUUAAAUCUAUAGCCUAAAACAAUGGCAUUAAAUUUGUCACACUUUGCAAGGAAGGAUUGGUUUAGAGGUUUGCCUACCACUAGUAUCUUAAUAUCUUAUAGGUAAAAAUGUCUGUAGAUCCCAUCAACUAUAGGCGCUCCUGAAAUAGACCCCUCAGAAAUUUUUUUUUUUUUUUUUUUUGGAUUGAGACUUCAUCAAGUUCAAUUUUUUUUAUUGACUAAAAUUGACUUUUGCUUCUCAAACUAUGAGGGGCUGAUAUCUUAGAUGCCAACUUUAAUUUCACUACAACAAAAACGGUCUAUAGCGAUAUUUUUAAAUGUAGGUACAUGUCAAAAAAGUGCUGCUAGCUAAAAUUACCGACACUUUUAAAAAGUGUUGCUAUAUGUGGGGUCGCUAGGUAUAUAGUGACAGUUAAAGAGUGUCGCUAUAACCUAAAAGAGUGCUACUAAUUUACCAACACUUAUUUAAGUAUUUAGCAACCGCCGAAACUCUAUCUCGUUGGCUGCGGUGGCGGAGGAGGACGACAGGAAAGGCUCUUCGUCUAGAAUUUCAGUGGAUUGAGUGAAGAGAAAAGAAAAGAUGGUAAUUGAUUUUUCUUUUUUUUUUUCUUUUCUGUUUGUAAUCGUGCCAAAUGCACGGGGUGUGAUGGGUUGAGUAGAGUAAUCUUUUAUUUUUGGUUGGAUUGGGCUUUAUAUUUAGCCAUUAGUAGAUAUUUUUUUAAGUUUUAGGAUAAAUGGGCACUUACUCAAAAGUGUCCCAAACAUGUGUCCCUAUAACCUAAUUCUGUUGUAGUGUUUAUUGUAAUUUUAGUUUGAAUUUUAUAAAUUAUUGUAAUAAUUUUUCAUAGCUUUGAUUAAAUAUUGAUAUAUUGGUCAUUGCCUCGUCAUUAACCAUAGUACGAGACAUUACUAUCGGUGACAUAUCAUCGUUUGGUCAAACUUAUUAGACUAUGGGGCUUGAUUACAAUAAUUUAAAAAGUUUGAACAAAAAUUACAACAGAUUAAAGCUAUAGAACAUCUCAAAUAAUCCAAAAUAGGUGUAAAUCUUACACCUUUCAAAUCUAAGUGUCCAAAAUUUUUUAUUUUUUAAUACUAAAACUUAAGGGCUUGUGAACUCUAACUAGGAUGGGGGGUGUAAAUAAUGCGCCCACCUUAAUUUGGGGUGUACAAGUAGUAUUAACCUAAUAUCUUAUAAGUAAAAAAGCGUUUGAAAUAGCCCCUUAACCUUUUUUUUUUUCUGGAUUACGAGUCCCUCAACUUUAGUAUUUUUCAUCAGCUAACUUGCAUUUUUGGCCCUCAAACUAGUUGACACAUGACAUUUUAGUCUUCAUAUUUUAAUAUGUUACAAUUUCUGAUUUAAACUAUCUAAGUUGUUGCAAUAAAAUGUUACGUACAUUCCAAUUUUACUGGUUAAACAUCAAUGUUUUGCUAAUGUGGUAGUGAUAUGACGUGUCAGUCAUUUUCAGAUCAUCAAUCACAGCGGUGCCACUUUGUUGCUAUAUUGGCGAUACAUCAUCAUUCAGUAGACAUUUACACUUAAUUUUAACAAUCUAGAAAGUAAGGGUCACAAAAAUCUUAGGUCUAAAUGGUGUCAUUUCUUUGAAGAUUUCAAAUGCAAUACAAAUUUGGCACUUGUGUCGAGCCUAGCCUAGCACAUGUGGCAUUAAAUUUGUGACCCUUCAAGUAAGGAUUGGGUUAGGGGAACAUCUAUCACCAGUAUCCUAAUAUCUUAUAGGUACAAAUGCCUGGAGACACCCUCAACUAUAGGUUGUUUUGAACUAGCCCCCUCAGCUAUUUUUUUAUUGACUAAAUUGCAUUUUUGGUUCUCUAUGUGGCAGGUAACACUUUAGUCAUCAAAUUUAAUUUGUCACAAUUUCUAGCUCAAACUUUGUAAAUUAUUGCAAUAAUAUUUCAUAGUCUAAUUUAGUCGACUUAAUAUUGAUAUAUCGCUUAUAAUAAUAUGGCAUCUUAGUCACUACCAAAUUAUCAACUAUAAUACUGUUACAUCAUUACUACAUCAGCAACACAUCACCAUUCGGUCAAACUACUUAGAAUGUGAGACUUGAUUACAACAAGCCAGAAAAUUUGAUAAAAAAUAAUAAUAAAUCAAAAUUUGAAGACCAAAAUGUCACUUGUCUUAUAGUUUGAGGACCAAAAGUGCAAUUUAGCAUUUUUCAUUUUGAUGCUUUAUAUUUAAUUAAGUCAACAAUUGUAUCACAUUUGUUGACUCUAUUAGUUAUCAACCAUUAAUUGAUCUAGCUUUAUUUGCUAAAAGUGAUUGAAAUUAUUAAAUUUGGUGAAAUUAUUAAUAAAUUUGACAAAAUCCCCUUUUGACUAAAAUUAUUUAAUUAUAGAAAAUUAAAAGUUUAGAGGAUCUCAAUCAAAAAAAAAUUGAGGGGGCUAGUUUAGAAUAGUCUAUAGGUGAGGGGUUCUCUAUAUAUUUUCACCUAUCUUAUAUUUCACUUAAUAAUUAAUUAAAAUCUCAGCUUUUAGGCCCAAUUCUCUUCUCAGAGUUUGCUUUAUCAUGUGAAUUUUCAUAAUCAACUCCAAUUUUGCCUCAAAUUUAAUUUGAUCCCCUCUAUGUUCAACCAAAUAGUUCAUUUUAAAUUCGAAUCGAAAUUAACCGUCGCAUCGAUAAAAUUCAUAUGAGAUCGAAGAUACGAAACUAGAUAUGUAACAUGUUCUACGCAAACUUAAACAAUAUUUUUAUUUUAUUGCACCUAAACUCUUUUUUAGACAAUAUUUUUGACCAUUUAUGCAUAAUGUUCAUAUAUAGUUUUAUUUAUUUAUUUAUUUUUUAGAAUGUCCAGGUAAUUUUUAUCUUUUUUAAAAUUCAACCGAGUUCGAAACUUUUUAAUUCCCUCUCAUUAUAUUAGGAGCAAUGUCAGUUAAAAUAUAAUAAUAGUAAUAAUAAUAAUAAUUACCCUUGUGCAUUUUGAAUUCGAAUUGUAACACACCAUAGGCACACUUGAGAUAAAUCAUUGUUGCUUUAAUUGAUAAUUUAUGCUUGCCUCUCUUACCGCUCCUCCGCUCGUUGUGCAACACAUGCUUCGAAAACUCACAAAUAUCAGUUCUUCUGAACUGGUAACAUUUGUUGGAGAGCCGAACAAUGUCGCUGCCGAGGGAGAGGCUUGAGGUAGGCGAAACCAGCAGUAUCAGGAUUGAUGGAGGACGACAGGGAGCCUUAACUUCUUGUAGGCGCGAGACGGCGUGGAGUCGCGUCGGGAAAGGGAAAAAAAUCUCGAAGCGGAUUGUCUGGGCAGAUGAGGUUGGUGGAGAUUUAUUGAAGUUUAGCAGUUGCAAUGAAGACGGAGAGGGAUCCUUACCUGGAUCUGGCAUGGGCUACACUCGAGAGCUAAAGGAGACCUUAAUUGAUGGACAUCAACGGAGCAAGUCUAGGUGCUCAUCCGGAGAGCUGCGAAGCAAGGUGACGGGACGGGGGGAAGGUGUGAGCACUAAUUGUUCCACUCUGAACAGAGGCUCUUUUAAGGACGUGCUGCUGCGGAGGUCGUCACUCACCCCUCCUGCACCCUACCUUCUUCAACCUCACCUUCACGCUCCUCCCCCUCGGGGUUCCACCCGGGGCCGAACUCCUCCCCGCAGAUCUGAGAAGAGGUGCUUCCGCUGCCUUGCAAGUGACCAUUUUGUGGCGACGUGCCGCGAUCCGGUCCAGUGCUUCAGGUGCGGAAAGACCGGCCACCGAGCGCACUUCUGCAAAGGAAAAUCUUGUGCGAACGCCCGCACAAUGAAUAGAGCUGCGAACCUCAGGGACCGACCUCUAGUGGCCAAGGUCUUUGCCCCUUACACUGACGAGUAUCUGCGGAGAGUGGAGCUACGCCGUAACGCCAUCCUCGCGGAUGUCAUUCAGCCGGCUAACCUUGGCGCGAACCCAAUUUCAACCAUCAAGACUGCUCUCGCAAGCCGUUUCGGAGGCUACAAGGAGGAUUUCGCCGUUGCGCGCUACAGAGAGAGGGACUUUGCUAUUUUCUUGCCCGAAUGGGUUCCUGCUGCUGUUCUUAUCAGAAGACAAGUUCUUACGCUCAACGAUUUCUGGAUCCGGUGUUGGCCAUGGGGUCGCUACCGAGACGCUCGACCCCAUCGCGUUCAAUAUACAAAGCGUGGAUCCGCCUUAUUAACCUCCCCUUCGAAAUCUGGUUUGUAGCUCGCGUGGCGGCGCUGAUAAGCGGCUUCGGGCGUUUCAUCAAAGCCGACGACGAGACUAAGGCAAUGACAAACUUUCGUGCCUUCCGGUGCCAGAUUGCACUCGACUCGAUCUACAACAUUCCUCAAAACCUCUCAGUGAUCAUCGGCGAGGAGCUUUUCCCUGUGAUGGUCCACUUGGAGAGGUGGGAACGAACAGUGGAAGGCGGAGCCGCAACACCACUAGCACCUCCACGCAACGGCGGUGGCAAUGCCGAGGAAGGAGCAGACGACCAAAACCAACCUCAGCAUGAAGACUUUGGCGAAGCACACGAUCAAGAGGAAGACGACAUGGCGGAAGCCCCAGGCGAGCUGGAGGAUGUUGAUCCACCUCCACAGACACACAGGGCUCUGUGGGGGACACCGGGCACGCGUACCUCGACGGCCCACCAGACUCGUUUGGCGGCGACGCUCUGAGCAACUCGCGGGCAACGGUGCUGGGUUCCAACGGGUCGGAGAGGCACGGACCUCGAGGCGGUUUGGGCGUUGGGCUCGAGGCCGGCUAAGUCUCGUUUGAACUUGGUAAGGGGGCAGAGUAUGACUAGGCCUCCCAGCCUAGAGAGGAAGCAUGAUGCUGUUGGGACUCCCGAUGUUGUGAAUACACCCCAGGGUCAACUCUCGGGCUUGGAGCCAAAAAUGCUUAUUUUGGUUUCUUGCUGGUCACCGAUAGUUCUAUCUCUCCUGAAACUUUCGGAAGGCAGCCAGCUUGGACUUCCUCUUCUGCUGGUUAAUGGGCCCACUCCACCUUUACUGCGUGGCCCACUUCAUCUCCAACCUGCUCGACUUUGGGAGGGACUCGGACUGAACUUCUCGCGCUUGGCGCGGCCCGAUCACUCGAUCAGGGUCACCCGGGCCUUUUACCACGGGCUCCUGGGGGGGGUUUUCGGGUCGGCCACCACCCCUGUCCAGUCCUUCCUUCUUGGAGGAGUCGGAGGAGCCAUGCCCGACUUCGGCCCCACACUUCCACACGAGCUGAUUGACGAGGUCCUUACCAUCUCUGAAGCCAUCACCGAUCAACCUUCUCUGGACUCUCUACUCCCUGGAGCCACCACCGACCUACCCGCUUCCUCCCCUCUCCUCCUGGCUGGCAGCCAAGCAGACCUGGGCACCGCCACUUGCUGCCUGCUCGAACCCGACUUGGCCGAGCACGAGGCACCAAAAAGAGUGGUAGAUGCAAUGGGCCCUAGUAAGAGUAGCAACACGCCGGUUGCCCUCGUUGUCGCGCCACUCGGAUUCACCGGAUCUGACAUCCCGACUGAAGCUGCUCCGGCGCGACACGACUCCAGGUUGCCAGAUGCUGCACUCCCCACCAUCGACUUCUCGGGCCCACGCAGGUCAAGCACCAGGCUCGCGAACGUGAAUUCGGAUUCUACCAUCUGUAGGGCCAUGCGCAGAAAAGAAAAACUUCUCGAGGGUGCACCCCCUGGUCCCAAGACCAAAGCUCGCAAAUUGACCAGGAAGAGAGUAAAGUCGAAGAGCCUCCUGUGUGGAGUGGAUCUCUCCUACUCUGAAGCCGCGGAGCUUCGCAGGUUCUUACAUGUCAGUGCGUAGCGCGUAGUUUCUGGCCCCUACCGAUGCCUGUGUCGCCUUUUUGGUGUUUUUGGUGUGUGAUGUUUGCUGAUGUUUAACAUUUUGUGUUGGAAUGUCCGCGGUCUCAACGACCCUACUAAGCGUCGAUGCGUAAGGACGGUAGUCUCUACUUACUUCAGCUCUGUGGUCUGUAUCCAAGAAUCCAAAGUAGAUUCUAUGUCUAGGUCUUUCCUCCGCUCUUGUUGCGGAUCCAGCUUUGACAGGUGUCAGUUUGUUCCUGCAACCGGAGCUUCCGGGGGUUUAAUUACUUGUUGGAGUUCUAGAUACUUCUCGUGUGAUACAGUUCUAACUAGAAAGUUCUCGCUCACUCUACACCUUACUUAUCUUGCAAGCGGAAAAUCCUUCUUUAUCAUGAAUGUCUACGGGCCUCCAACUUGGGAAGGCAAAGAUGAGUUCUGUUCCGAACUACUCUCCCUCGGUAGUUCCUGCUCUUCAGAUUGGGUAAUCUGCGGCGACUUCAACUUCACUAAGAACCAAUCUGAGAGGAAAGGAAAACCGUGAAGCGCCAAAGCUAUGACCAUGUUCUCCGACCUCAUCAAUAACCUUGCAGUUAUGGACUUACCUUUGUCCAACCAAAACUUCACCUAGUCUAACAUGCAACAAUGCCCCACCCUGGCCAAGCUCGACAGGUUCCUCAUCUCGACGGAAUGGGAUCAAUCUUUCCCCUUCAGCAAGGUCCAAGCUCUACCCAAGAUCACUUCUGACCAUAACCCGAUCCUGCUUACAACGAGGCCGCCAACCGCCCGACGAAGGUUUCGUUUUGAGAGGGUUUGGCUAACAAGGGAGGACUUUACUUCAAAAGUGCCUCUCUGGUGGAACGAAACUGGCGGUCAGCGCUCUGCCAUCCUAUCCAUCUCUGCUAAGCUUCGACACUGUAGGGUCCGGAUAAAAGAAUGGUGCAAGACGCACUUUCAUAGUAUCACCAAUGCCAAAAAUCAACUGCAAUCUGAAAUCCAAGCCAUCGACCAACUUGAGGAAUUGCAGGACCUACCUAAGGAAUCUUUGGACAAGCGGGCAGAACUCAAGUCAAAUCUCUUACACAUACUUGAAGAGGAAGAAAUCUUAUGGAACACUAGGGCCAAACAGCGAUGGUUAAAGGAAGGCGAUGGAAAUACCAAAUUCUUCCACGCCUUCGCCAAUGGCCGAAAGCGCUCUAAUACAAUUAUCGCAAUCGAGGAUGACUCCGGCCAGCAGAUAACCAAUGAAGAGCUUAAGAGGUCGUACUUCUACCAAGCCUUUAAGCGAAUGUUCGGGAACCAAGUGGAUGGACCUUCGUCUUUCGGUGACUGGAGCGGCCUUUACCACUCAAACAAACUACUUGACCCUGACUCCCUAACGACACCCUUUACCCCUGAGGAAGUCAAGAUCGCCACGUUCCAACUAGGCAGUGACAAGGCGCCCGGGCCGGACGGCUUUCUACUCAUCUUCUUCCAAACCUUCUGGGACGUGGUCAAGGACGACAUUUUCAAGGUCUUCUCUGAGCUUCACGAUGGCACUCUAUUCACGGGCCCGAUAGAUUAUUCCUUCGUCUGCCUCAUCCCUAAAAAGGAGGGGGCACGCAAAGCAAGAGAUUUCCAACCCAUAAGCCUCAUCAAUGGAAUCAAGAAAAUUAUCUCUAAGGUCUUGGCCAACAGAUUAGCACUUCAACUACCAUCCAUCAUCUCUUCAUCGCAAUCGGCCUUCAUCAAAGAUCGACUGCUAACAGACUCGUUUGUCACUGCAAGUGAACUCAUGAACUGGUGCUCGAAAUCUGGGAAGGAAUGCAUUGGAAUCAAGGCAAACUUUGAGAAAGCAUUCGACAACGUCAGAUGGUCCUUUCUAAAAAGUAUACUGCACUGGCUAGGUUUUAAUGACAAAUGGUGGGCGUGGAUCGAGCAAUGUAUCUGUAACGCCAAAGUAGCCAUUCUAGUAAACGACGCCCCGACCCAAUGGUUGAAAACUCGGAAGGGGCUUUGACAGGGAGACCCCCUCUCCCCGUACCUCUUCUUACUAAUAGCUGACUGCUUAGCCAGAAUCACUGAAACCGCGAGGAGAAACANCAUUUUAUGUGUAUAUAUGCAUGCACUUUGAUGUCUAGCUUAGCCACCUCUAUUUUAUGUGACUAGCUAGGGUUUGUUCUCUGCUUGGCCAUGCCAUAUUGUCCACACUAUACGUCGGCUAGCUAGCUCUUGUAAAUUAAUUAAGCUCGUGGUUUUUUAAUUUGACCCUUCCUUGGAUGCAUGGCUAUCACUUGCCACGGUAACGGAUGCACGAAGAAACAGCUAAAAUAUUUAACUUCUCUAUCAAAGUGUUUUCUCCCUUCGUAUACUAUAGCAAAAAAAAAUGGAAAUAUUAAAAUGAAUUUUUUUUUUUUUUUGGAGUGUUGAGAAACUUAUUUGCCUCUUCUUCUCAACAAAAACAGUAAAUAAUUAUUUACUAAAUAUGUGAUUACUGUAUUUCAGAAUAGAUAAACUGUUCACAAAUUAGUCCAAAUAGGGCCCACAGUAUAUUUGGCCCCGCUAUACGGUAUAAUAUUGUUAACUAAGUAUGGCCUCGAUCGAGUGGAAGCCCGAAUAGAAGGCUGGAAAGCCAAACUUCUCUCGCUUGGGGGAAGACUCACGCUCGUUAACUCGGUACUCACCAACCUACCACUAUUCUACUUUUCCAUCUUCAAGGCCCCAAAGUGGGUGUUAAACCGGAUUGAGGGACUCAGAAGAGCUUUCUUCUGGAAAGGGUGCUCCAAAAUCACCGAUGGCGCUUGCCUCGUCAACUGGAUUUCAGUAUGCAAAAGUAAAAGAGACGGGGGUCUUGGAAUCUUAGACCUAAAAUCUAUGAACCUGGCACUUAUAACCAAAUGGUGGUGGCGUUAUUUCACCGACCCAGACCUCAUUUGGUGUAAACUGAUUAGAUGCCUCUACUACGCCAGACGCAAGCCACUGCUAGAGGGUAGAGCCUUCAGCCCGUAUUCACAGUGGUGGAAGAGUGUGCUCUACUGCCGAGACGUGUUUUCCUGUGGUGUAGCCUACGAGCUCGGGGAUGGAUGAAAUAUCAGGAUGUGGUCCGAUAUCUGGAUUGGAGAAACCCCUCUCCGUACUCUAUUUCCGGACAUCUUUUCAAACAUCAGGAAUAAGGAAGCCCGGAUCUCCCAAUGCUGGGAUCAAGGCGGAUGGAGAUGACGCUUUAUCUGUCGUGGAUUCACGAUUGCUGCUUCCGCCGAUAGACGAAGACAGGUAUCGUCGCUUAAGGACAUGCUCCAAGGCCUCUGUCCAUUUGACAGGCCAGACCUGAUCAAAUGGCGUUGGACCUCCAACCAACUUUUCACUGUUAAAUCCCUUUAUCGGUUCAUCACGGACGACGGACUUCGUGUCCCGACAUAUUGACACAUCUGGAAGCUGAAAACCCCCCUUAAAAUUAAAGUUUUCAUUUGGCUACUCCUUAGAAAAAGACUACCCACCGCCGACAGACUGCUCACCCGAGGCAUGCACGUAGAUCAGAACUGUGCUCUCUGCGCAGUCCUUGCAGAAAGUUGCGACCACCUUUUCAACGACUGUGUUUACAUCCGGUAUCUUCUUCUCUGCAUGGGAGGACUGGAUGUAAACGCUGGCAGCACUGGUGACGCUAAAAGUCUCUGGACCGAAUGUACUGAAAUACCAGUCACCACGUCUAGAAACCAACGCUUGAUCCUUCUGGCUGCAACGUGGUGGGUAAUCUGGACGGAUAGAAACAACUCAAUUUUCAAUGGAAAGCCGCCCACGAUUUCUGGGUCUCUUGCACGCCUCAAACUACUGAUCAACACUUGGACCACAAUACUCUGACGUACUUUAAAAGUGAUUUCUUCUUUCAGCGCCGGAAAUUCAGAUACAAGCGAACUGGAAUCGAAAGUCUCCCGUUUUGUCCCCGUGUCAGGUUUUUUAGUGUUUGUUUACUGUUUUGUUUUCGUUUUUAUCUUCUUUUUGUUUUUCUUCCGGUCCCUCCAGGAGGCCCUAGCUGCCUCCAACAUGUACGCUUUGUUCAUCUUGCUUAAUGAAUGAAGCAGGUAGCUUUGCUACCUAUUUCUCAAAAAAAAAAAAAAAAAAAAUCAUUGUUGCUUUAGCUAAUAUAAUUUUUAAUAGUGUAGUGUUAUUUGCUAGGGAACCUACAAAUUAUGAUAAUUUACUGUUCUAUCCUUCGGUUCUUUCGAAAAACAUUCCAGAAAAUAGUUUUCUGGUUGAAAAGAAAUAUUUUCUAUCUGUUUGGCUAUUCGGCAAAGUGGUUUUCCUGAAAAAUUAUUUUCAAAUUUCAUAGAAAAAUCUUCUUUUCAUUUUUCAAUUUUUUUAAUCCAAAAAACCAAAAAUUAUGAAAAAUAACACAAUUGAAAAAUCUUCUACACCAAAGUUCACAUCCUGUUUCGUUUUAUAUCUUAAACAAUCGAUCAAACUGAUCAAAUUGGAUAGGAUUUACUUUUUCACCUUGCGCGGGUCGAGAUCACCACGAAGUCGACAAUCAUUGGUAAAAAUUGUUCGCACUCGCGAGCCGCGCACGCGCCCAGCCUCUAUUCGCGUCCAUACGAAAUCAUGCCCUUGAUCAAAUUAGUCGACCAUUUCGAUCAGUGAUCCGAUCACGAUCUUGCGUCGAUUUGAGAAAGACGCGUCAAUUUUCUGGAUGUGCUAGCAACCUUCUGAAGAUCGAAACCGAUGAGUUAAUUGUGAAGAAUUCGAGGAAGAGAAAAGGAUUAGGCUUAGGGUUUUCUCAUUACAUCAAUAUAUAUUAUUAUCCAUGUCUUUCGAUACACUUUGGUAUUGUGUGGUAUGGAAAUAAACUGUUUUUGUUUAUUCCUGGUAAUGUGUAAUUUUCUUUUACGUUUAAAUAAAAAUUAGAUUAUUACUAGGGAUACAAAAAAAUAGUAUUUUAUUAUAGUUAGUUAGAUUGAAACUGUAAAAAUAAGAGUAAUUAUUAUAAUUUAAAAAUAAUAAUAUUUUUUAUAAUUAAUUAAUUAAUUAAUUAAUUAAUGCGAAGUUCAAAUUAAAGAGAAAUAAAAAAAGAUAGAGUAAAUUUUUUUUAAAAAAAAAAAGCCCUUGGAAAAAAAAAAGGGAACAAUAAUAAUGAGGGCCACAAAACAGAGGGAAAAGCGUGCGUGCGUGAGUGCGUGCGUGGGGUGGUGGGGGUGUGAUUUAAAUUUCAACGGCUACAAACGGCGCGGGAGUGGAAUUUUUGCUGACGUGGCAGAGUAGGGUCGUGGUAAACGUGCGCGCCCAACUAAACCACGCCCCAAUACCACUCACUCUCUCUCUCUCUCUCUUCACCAACUUUUAUUAGAGAGAGAAAAUCGGUAAAUUGCAUUUUGGUCCUCAAAUUUUGAGGAGGGUAACAUUAUUAGCCCUUAAACUUUAAUUUAGAUAAAAAUGUAUAAAACCUAUCUGAGUUAUGAACCAUUUUGAGUCGUCUGUCAAUUUUUUAAUUUACUUGAUUUGAGUAAGAUACGUUCUUUAUCUUUACAGAUUCAUUUAGUAUAUUUCACGCAGUGCUCGUUACUAUAAAUUCACUAAAGUAAAUAAUUAGCUUAAAUUUUGAUUCAAAUCAAACCGAUCGAACGAUUGAGUAGUAAAAUUAAAAUCUUUGGAAGGUUGGGUAGUCGACUCAAUAUGAUCUAUAAAAUAUGUAAUUUAUCGGCAUUGUUGCAAUUAAGUCCUGUAGUUUUGCUAAUGUUAUAGCGUGAUUUGAUAUUUUAGCAGUUGUUAUGUUAUUAAUCACAGUAUUGUUAUAUUAAUAAUACAUUAGUGAUAUAUUAUUAUUUUAUAGAUUAAAUUGGACCGUGUGACUUAAUUUCAGUAAUUUAAAAUUUUGAGUUAAAAUUAUAAUAAAUUAAAAUUUAAGAACCAAAGUGCAAUUUAGCCUGAUAUAUUGCACUCUUUACUUUAUUCAAUUUUGGCUCAAAUUUUUUAAAUUAUUAUAAUUAAGUUUACGAUUUAAUUAAAUCAACUAAUUGGCCACUUCUUAGCAUUAUGACUAAUAACAUAUGCAACAAUUUAGAAAGAUCAAGCUAAAAAUUUAAAACAACAGAGUACUAAAGUGAAAAAGUGCAAAACCAUAGGGUACUAACUUGAUACACUUUAAACCACAGGGUACUAGAGUGAGAAAAAGUGAAACCACAAGGGGCGUAUUUGAAGUUUUCCCUUUUUUUUAUAUAUACAACUAUUCUCCAACAUAAAUAGGAAUCUCAGUUUUUUACUUUUUUAUCCCUUCUCCAACAUAAAUAUUUUUAUAUCGAACCAAACAAACAGAAAAGUAUUUUUCAUACCGAAAAUAAUUUUUCGGUUCAUUUUAUGCCGAACCAAACCCUGCCAAGGGACAAAAGUAUUGGCCCAAAAAGUCUAAAAAGGACUAAAUUGCAAUAUCAGGAUAGCACAGGGACAAAACUGAAAUUUCACCCUCUGAUGCUAAUUUAGGGAAAGGAUAUGAGUGUUGUUGCAUUUAAAAAGGUUUCUGAGACUUGAAUCUGUUAUUAUCCUUCUCAGUUAAACACAAACAACAAAUAAUCAACAACACCCCCCCACUCCAUCUCUUGCUUCUUCUUCUCUCUCUCUCUCUCUCUCUCUCUCUAUUCCUUCACUUCAACAUAUUCAAAUCCCACCUUGUAAGUUUCCCCUUCUCUCUCUCUCUCUCUCUCCUCACAGCAAAAAAAGAAAGAAAACAAGAAUAGAAAGAAGUAGUGCUUCUAAGCCCAGCACUUUGGGGAAUUGGGUUCUUCUCCUUUUCUGGGUUCCUCUUCCCCCCUUUCUCUUCUCCUCUCUUGUUGUUCUUUUAUUUACCUUUAAUUAAUUAUUAUUAUUAUUAUUUUCCCUUAUCUUUGUAGGUUACCAACCAAAGACCUUCAAGUAAAGGUAACUAACCACUUUCACAAACUCUCUCACAUUUAUAAAUAUGCCUUUUCCAUGUACUACAUAUACAUAUAUAUAUGUUUUUAUGAUUGUAGAGGAGUAUAUUAUGGGAGAUCACCUCGCCCUGCUCGUCGAUCGCCUUCUAACGGAGUCGACGCUGGAAGCCGCGAUCGAGAGCAGGAAACGCGCCCAGAUCGGGCAGUCUGCAGAAUGGGGGAUCGAACAUGCGACCUCGACGGACGCCAGCCCGCCGAGCAAAAUGGUGGAGUGUAGGAUUUGCCAUGAUGAGGACUUUGACAGCAACAUGGAGAUCCCCUGCUCAUGCUGUGGAAGCUUGAAGGUAUAAUAAUGCAUAGUAAUAAUGCAUUAAUAAUAAUGCUUUGUUUUGUGAAUUAUUAUUUGUUUGCAAUGAAUUGUUAUUGGUUGAGUAAUUGUUUACAUAGUUUAGGUUAAAAAAAAAAAAAUGUAUGGAGAACCUCUCAAUUGUAUAAUUUCUAGUCACAAAGUUUGGGAAUUUUAUUUGAUGAUUUCACCAAAUUAUAGUAAAAAACUAGACCAAUUAAAGAUCAUUGGAUGGAAUUUUUAAAUUAAGUAUAAAAACUCAAAUAAAAGAAAUUAGAAGCUUGGGGGGUCUCAAUCCAAUGGAAAAAGGAAAAAGUUGAGGGGGCUAUUUCAUAAUUGGCUAUAUUUGAGGGGCUCUCAAUACAUUUUUAUCAAACUCUAUGUGUUAUGAUUUUGUAAUUAUUGUUUAUUUGCAAUGAAUUGCUCAUGGUUGUGUUAUGUAGGAUUUAGUUUAGGUAAAAAUUUAUGGAGGCCCCCUCAACAAUCGGAGGUUCUGAAAUUGCCCCCUUGCACUUUUGAUUAAUUUGGCAAUUGGUAUGAAGUUGAUUGAUAAUUUAAUCAAAUUUAAUAGUUUAGAGUAUUUUGCAAUGAAUAAAACUGGGCUAUUUUAAUUGCUAGUAGCUAAUUGAGCCAUAAAAUUUAACAACAUUUUAACUUAAUUAACUAUAAAAACUCAAAUUCAAAAAAACACUUAGAAGGGGAUGUCAAUAAAAAAUUUUAAAUUGAGGGAUCAAUUUCAGAUCGUAUAUAAAUACGGGGCUCUCCAUGCAUUCUUUUGCCUAUAAUUUAUGUUUUGUAUUCUUGCUUAGUUAAAAGUUGCCUAAAUGGGCCUAAACCUUUUAUUUUAUUUUAUUUAUAUUUUAUUUUGUAUAUAGAUUAAUAACAACUUUUAGUUUCUAACACUUAUCAUAAGAGCUUUUCCACAUAAACCCUGCAGUGUUAAUUUUUUACUUAUUUUCUUACGUAUAUACCCUCGCACUUUCGAAAAUAUCGUAUACGCAAAAUAUAGCGCGCUAUAAUUUUAGUUUGGUUCAAAUUUGAAUGAAAUUUUCUCGUGGAACGAAUUUGGAGGGAACUCUGAUUGCAUUUUGCGCCGAUUAAUUUCUUUUUUUACUCGCAGUACGCUCACAGAAAAUGCGUGCAGCGGUGGUGCAACGAGAAGGGCGACACAACUUGCGAAAUUUGCUUGCAGGUAAAACCUAUUUCAAUCUAAACGAAAUAAACUCGUGUUUCGAAUUUUAGGUUGAAUUACAUAAAAUCCCCCCGCAAGUAUAUGCUUUUUUCAUUUUUUCUUUCUGAUUUUCUGAAAUGUUUUCAGAGAGAUAUGACGUUAAUGGAGAGAGUAAAAUGAUCAAAUUAUUCUUACUUUUUCGAUAUAAAUUAUAAGAAAUUGAUAGAAUAGUGAUGAAACCCUGACGGAGGGGGCUUAAAUGUAACAACUUGAAAUAUUGAGGGGGUAAAAUAUAAAAUUUUGAAAAUUAGAAAGGAAAAGUGAAGGAACAUAUAUUAUUUAUAAGAAAAUUUUCUGUAAUUUAGUCUAUUUUUAAAAUUUAGCAUUUAAAAUUUUUCCGGUUGUUCGAUUUCCAGCCAUUCAAGCCGGGAUACACGGCUCCGCAGCAGCUGUUUCACUACGGCAGCAUACCGAUGAAUUUCAGGUAUGUCGAGAUGCGAACUUCUUUCGAUGUGUUUGCUGCAGGCAUAUUUAAGAUUCUGCGGUUUUCGUCUCGCAUUUCAGAGGGAGCUGGGAGAUUUCGCGGAGAGAUGUUCACGAUUCGCAGGUCAUAACGAUGGUUCCUUCGGAGCUCGGUCGCGUAAACUCCGACUCCGACUACGACAACGACAACGACGACUACUCCUACCUGAGAUCGCGAAGCACCGCGUGCUGUCGAUCUGUCGCCGUAAUCGUGAGUUUUCUGACGCUUGGCAGAUCUGCCACGAAUGUCUGACGUUCGAGAACUUGCUUGAUAUGUGAAUUCGGUCUUGAAAUGCAGUUCAUGGUUCUGCUGGUUCUUCGGCACAGUCUGCCCUUCGUGAUCAGCGGAGCCGAGCAGUAUUCCUUCGCGCUGUUUUCAGUAAAAAUUUCUGACCGCGACGAAGUUUAAACUCUGACGCAUUUUUAAAUCAUAUUCGUAUUCGAAUUCGAAUCUGAUGUUUGAAUUUUUGUUCUUUUUUAUUUGAGUAGCUCCUUGUAUUGCGGAUUGGGGGAGUGCUCUUUCCGGUUUUCGUAAUGGUGCGAGCAUUAGCCACUUUUCAUCGGCGUCGUCGCCAACAGGUGCAUCAAAUUGAAGCUUUUUUUUAAACAAAAGAAUUUAUUGCACAUAACUAUACUUGUUCUUGUUUUUUUAGUCCUUGAAGAUUGAAUCCGGUUUCAAUUACGUCCUUAGAAUUCAAAAUUUUUUUAAAAAACUUUUUUCGACAAUACAGUAACAGGAGGACUCAAUUGUUACACGGAACAAACUUAGCGACCUAAUUGUAAAAAAUUGAAAUUGUGAGGAUGCAAUUUCAAGGACUAAAUUUGCAACUAACCCCCCUUUUAAAUCUAACUUUUAUUUGAUAAAAACAUUGCAGGAAGAUCGAGAAGUGCACAAUUCGUCAUCCGAAACCGAGCCCGAAAAUAUUCGAUUCAAUUCGCAUCUCGUUCGAGCGCACUAACGAAUCGGCUGGCGAAUUUUAAAAAAUGGCACCGAAAAAUGGAAAUGAAUGGAAUUGAAAGAAAAAAAAUGUUGUGGGGGAAAUUUAAAAUGAUUCAUAUCCUUGGAAUGGUGUUGUUUAGUUCAAAUUUGAUGUAUAUAAACAUGCUUUAAGAUCCUUAGGCUUUGUAAAUAUGAUAGAAAUGGGUAUAAGAUAAAUCAAAAAAAAAGUUUCAAAAAAAUUAUCAAUGAAAUUUAGAUUCAUGGGUUUGUGAGCAUAUUGUGUUGUUGCAUUUUCUAAAUAUUAUAGUCAUCUUUGCUUCAAAGGAGAAUAAGUUGUGCAUGUAAAUAAGGAAUAAACCAUUUUAAGGCAAGAUAAAGCACUAUAUUCAUGCAACUAAUAAAAAAAAUUUUAAAAAAGGAUAAAUUUUAUAAGUAGCAUUGUUUUUUUUUUUUUUGGACAAAAUUCAUCUUUGCCGGCCGUUGUAUUUUAAAAGGUUAAGCUGUUAGAGAACGGGCUCCCCCUGACGUGCCUGACAUGACUCGAACUCAGAAUCUCCUGUUCUGAUACUCAUGUGAAACCACGGUUGUACCAUAAAAAUUUUAGGAUACAACAGUGGUUUCACAUGGUAUCAGAACAGGAGAUUCCGAGUUCGAGUCAUGCCAUGCUUGUUGCAUUAGGAGGUUCGAACUCUCGUAUUAUGGACAACGUAAACGUGUAUUCGGCCCAUUCGGAUUCGGUUUUCGAUAAAUUCGUAUUCGACGAUUAAACCUAGGCCUAGCUAAGACCCAAUUGCACUAGGCCCAGUUCACAGCCCAAUUAAAACUCAUUAAGUGAAAGGGAUUUGGGCUUUUAGGUUUUUCACACAACCCCCAAAAUAAAACAAAUUAAUGAUUAAAUAAAUGUGUUAGUCACAAUCAAAUUACACUUUUUUUUUUUUUGCUUUUUCCUGUUCUCAGAAUCCAAUCAAAUCAUGCUACUUAGUACAAAAAAUUAUUAACAAACAAACUUUUUUAAAAUGUUUUUGAUUUGAGAGAGGAGGCUACAAUGAAGAAGAGAUUGUUUAAACUACUUGCAUUACUACAAUGCCCAAGGCUUUUAGUUCUAAGCCCAUUAAGAUAAAAACAGAAAAGAAAAGAAAAAAAAGAAUAAUCAGGAUAAAAACUUAAUUUAAGAUAUGCGUUACAUGUAAUACAAAAUCCAUGUUUCGUAUGAUCAUACGUAUCAUAGGUUCAGGUAAAAUAUGAUUUUUGCAAUAUCAUCGAAAGGCAACAGAUCCUGAGUCUUCAUUUGAGAUUGUAGAUAAGAUGUUACAUUAAGUGUGAUGGCAAAGUGUAUAGAAAAAUACUUUAUUUGUUCCUAUAAGCGAAAACGAAAAUACUUUAUUUGAGUCUUCAUCGUUUUUUGAUGGGAUCACAAAAAACAUUAUUCUAAUCUGCGCAAUAUAAUAUUACGUACAAAUUUUACUGUAUGUGACACAAAAAACAUGAUAUUGCAUAAUAUCAUUGUAAUAUGCAUAAUAUGAUAUUGCAUGCAAAUCUUACUGUAUGUAAAACAAAAAACAUGAUAUUGCACAAUAUCGUUGUCAUAUUCACAGUAUGAUAUUGCAUACAAUAUGAUAUCGUAUCAUAACGACUUGACUCGCUAUCAAUAAUAAUUUAUUGGGCUCAAAUUAACAACCCAAAAUAUUUAAAUCCAGUUAUUAUUAUUAACAUGGAGGCGUCUUAUAUGCGAAAUUAGAACCCUUUUUUCAUCCGAUAUGGUACUAUUGGGGCUUUACAGACUCCCCCCGUUUAGACACUAGCAUCCUCGUAGAAUUAUCAGGCAAUAUGAGAUUCUAGAGGUGGCUCUUAUGAGUACCAGGUGAUGUAAAAUUCCAUAGGUGACUCCUACGAUUAUCAGGAGAUAUGAGAUUCUAGAGGUAACUCCUAUGAGUUCAAGAGGUGGCUGGCUCUUAUCAAAUCCAUUAGUGUAGCAUUUUGUCCCGCAUAGCACUUAGAUAUCACACUUUCGGUUUAUAUUCAGCUCUGAUACCACUUUUAACAACUAGAACGGCUAGCAAUAAUAACUUGUUGGGCUUAAACCAUCGGCACAAAAUACUUAAUCUUAGUUAUUAUUACUAGCGUGCAAGGCUUCACAUAAUCCAAUCAGAAUUAUUUUUCCAUCUGAUGUAGGAAUAUUUAGACAUUACAUAUCACAAAAAACAUCAUUAUAAUAUGCACAAUAUGAUAUUGCGUACAAAUCGUACUGUCUGCAACGCAAUCUCACCGCAAUCCAUAUGAAGCUCUAGUUAUGUUCACAUAUAAUGUUUACAGUGCGAGAGAAAAUAAUAAUAAUAACAACAACAACAAUAUGAUCAAUCUGGAUUGACUUAAUAUUAAUUAAAGAGAUAUUGUCAACAUUGUUUUCCCAAUAAAAGACAUAGAGCUAAACAUCAUAACAUAGAGAUAUUGCCAACAUUGUUUUCCCAAAACAUAGAGCUAAACAUCAUAACAACUCUAAUAAAAUUUACAAACAAACCUCUAAACUAAUACUUUUAUUCAUGGCGAGAAUAAACACUCACCGCAUCAUCACCAUUCAUCACCAGCGUGAUGAUCAUAAUCCGCCACAGCAUCAUCAUCAUCAUAAUCAGAAUCAUAAUAAACAUCAUGCGGUGUACUUCUCCUCGGCGGUGUACUUCUCCUCGGCGGGACCCGCUGGUACUUCUCCUCGGCGGUGUACUUCGCCUGGAACCCCGAUCCCGCGUCGCGCACUUUGACGUUCUCGUACCAGCGGUAACCCUCGCCGCCGCGGUCCUGCUGCACCCCGGUGUUGUAGCGGUAGUAGCUCCCCGUCGACCUAUCCUCCCACGCCACGUGGUACCUAGCGUCGGGGGCGGCGACCGCACCCCGCCCCACGGUGGCCGGGAUCGGCGAGGAUUUGGGCUCGUCGCCGCCGUAGUGCAGCUCCGUCGUCGAAUACUCCGGCUCCACGUGGCGCGGCGGCCCGCCUCCCGAGGCGUAGGCCGGCGCGGAAUUGGACAACUCGGCGGACCAAAUCGCCGAUCGGGGAUAGGUGUUCUCGGUUUUGUUGUUGUUGUUGUUGUUAUUCGCCAUUUGCGUGCGUGCUCACUCGCGGCGCUCACGCUAGGGUUUUGGUAUUUAUAGAUUCAUCUUGCUACCGGGGAAGGAGCACAGGGGUGCAUUACGAUUCGUGCGAGGGACACGUGGCGAGAAAUGAUAUUCGAAACUUUAUUUGAAUUCGAAUCAGAAAGUGUCAGGUUUUAGGUACCGAAUGAUUUUUUUUGCGGCUAAUUUUGCAUUGCAUUCAUAUAUAAAUAAAUAUUUCGUGUUAUUUGAAUUUAUAUUUUAAAGAUUUAGAUUUUACUCUAAUAUAUUUUAAAAUAUAAUAAUUAGAGACAAAUGAUUGCUUCGAACUAGGGUUUUCGCGUUCGGAUUCGGGUUUUAGGUUUUUUGCCGGAUUCGAUUUUGUAUAUGAAUUUUCAAAACUUGUCGAUCAGUUCGGAUUUGGAUUGGGUUCGAGUUCGAGUUUCGGGUUUAGUUGACGGUUUUGAAUUUUUGGAAAUCCGCUCCAAAUCCGACUCAAUAACAUUCCUACGUACCCUCGAGGCCUCGAUCCUUCCAUUAAAUUUUAAAAUAAUUCUCCAAUCUAUGCGUCCUCAAACUUUAAUUAACAUAAAUUUUAUGAUAAAUUAUAUUUUUAGUUCUCAAACGCACGUGAUAUUUUAGUUCUCUAAUUUUAAGUCGCUGCAAUUUCUAGGUUAAGCUAUCAGAUGCGUGGCACUUUAGCUCUUUUAGCCCUCAAACUGUAUAUAUAUACACACCAAGCUCUGCUACAUAUAACUACAAUGGAAAUAAAUUUAGAAAACAAUAUUUCUUAGAAAAGCGCAAGCUCGAAAACUAUAUUUAAAUAAAGAUAAACAUGUUCGACAAUUUAGGGAGAUAGGACAUAUAAAAACAAAUUACAUUGUUAUACCUGUGGCGGUACGGAACAUUUUGCCAAUACAUGCCCAAAACAAAUGAAUAGGAAAGAUAGGAUUGCUUACCGACCGUCUCUAGAGCAAGUGGCCAAGGACUUGAUGGUUGGUAUCCGAAAUUCAAGUUCGAAUUCUAGUUGAUUUAUAUUUCCAACUAAAUUUAUUUCUAAAUAAAAUAAAUGAAAUGGAUAGCGUGCUAUCUAUCUCUCAAACAAAAAAAAGAAAAAAAAGAAGAAGAAGAUAGGAAUGCUUUAUAAGUAGAAGAGACACAAGAAAAUUUAUUAGCAAUACAAAGGGACUUGAAAUGGACAUAAAUACAAAUAAUUUACUAGUUUCCAUAGGAUAAUAGCCGAACCAAGUUUCAACUAAAUAUGAAAGGCACAGUAGACUUGUGAAAGGCAUAGUAGACUUAUAGGCAUGAAACUGACAACGAUGUCUUGUCCAAAUAGUAAAUCUUUAAUAAAGUCUACAGUAAGUCUUGUACGAAGAUGCUUCUGAACAGUAAGUCUUUAAUAAUGGAGAUCCUGUCUGGGCCAAAGAUUUUGUAGACAUUGGGUCCAGAAAAAUUAAUUUAGGGAUACCCUAGAUGGACCCACGUUUUUCGAGUGCGCUUCCGGAUGGGGUGCCAUGUGCACCCAAGCCAUGCGGGUCCAUCCUCCUGUUGCUCUCCAGCAAAAAGGAGAACAGGAUUUUUCUGGGUGCCCGUGCACCAUUUUUUACUUUAAAAUUUAUUUUUAUUUUUAAAUUAUAAUUUAAUAUAUAUAUAUACUAUAUAUAUAUAUAUAUAGAUAUAUAUAUAAUAUUUAAAAAUAUAUGUUAAAAAUUUACAAUUUAGGGAUUUAAAAUUCUUUUACACUUAUUUUUUGAAUAUCAAGUAUAUAUAUCUAUUAUAUUAAAUUUAUUUAAAAAUAAAAAAUAAAAUUUUAGAAAAAGUUGGUGGCACCGGGUGGACAAAAAUGUCCCAUGCUCUCCAAAAGGAAGAGCAGCAGGAUCGGGGCCACGCGGCGCGGGAAUCCGGCGUGUCCUCAAAUAACUCUUUAUGUACACACUGUCCCAAAAUUUCUGUCCUCCUGUCUGAUACUUUAGUAAUGGAGAUGCUUUCGUCUGAUCGCUCAAUAAUGGAGAUGCUUGAGAAUACUGUGAUGUUUUUCGAUGUGAAGAGUUACAUGGCUGGCAAUCAGCGAGCCGCUCAUGUUCGGCUCUCAGUUCGGCUCGAUAUUUGGCUCAUUCAAACUCGGCUUGAAUAUUUCAAGCCGAGCUUGAGUAUUUACUCCGGCUCGCAUCGAAUUAAACUGCGAAAAGCUCGAAAUAUAUUAUAUAUAUUAUAUAUAUAUAUAUAUAUAUAUAUAUAUAGUCUUUAACUUACUAUUAAUAGUAUCAACCACUUAUUAUUAGGUUUUCGGCCUUUGGACAAAGGGAUGUGCGGUUAGAAUGAUAGUGAUCCUUUAAGGUUAAGUGGGUGGUUACUUAAAUAAUAUGAUUUAACGGAUAAAAAUGGUCAAAAAGGUAGAUUUAACGGCACAUAAUUCGAUAACACUAAGUAUUUGAUACUAUUGAUAAUAUAGUUGCCAGACUCUAUCUCUCUCUCCUCUCUAUAUAUAUAGUCCGGCUACUAUACUAUUUAUACUAUUGAUAGUACUAAGCGCUUUGUACUAUUGAGUUUUCUACCAUUAGAUCUGCCUAUAUAUAUAUAUAUAUAUAUAGAGUCCGGCUAUUAUACUAUCGAUAGUACCAAGCAUUUGGUGCUAUCGUGUUUUCUGCUGUUAGCUCUAUCCCUUUGGCCAUUUUCAUCAGUUAAAUCAUACUAUUCAACUAGCCACCCACUUAACCCUAGGGGGCUACUAUCAUCCUUAUUGUACAUCCCUUCAUCCAAAGGCCGAAUAUCUAAUAGCAAGCGGUUUGUACUAUUAAUAGUAUAAUAGCCAAAUUCUAUAUAUAUAUAGGUUCGGGCUACUUAUACUCUUAUAAAUAUAGACCUCUUUAUACUUAUAAAUUUGUAGCCAUUGGAUGUGCGAUUAGAAUGAUAAUGAUCCCCUAAGAUUGAGUGGGGGGUUCGUUGAAUAGUAUGAUUUAGCGGAUAAAAAUGGUCAAAAGGAUAUAAAUCUAGCGGUCGAAAACUUAUGAGUAUAAAGGGAUUUAUACUCAUAAAAAUAUAUAUAGUAGCUGAACUCUCUCUCUCUCUCUCUAUAUAUAUAUAUAUAUAUAAUAUUUUAAAAAUAUAUGUAAAAGAAUUUACAAUUUAGGAUUUAAAAUUCUUUUACACUUAUUUUUUGAAUAUCAUAGUAUAUAUAUCUAUUAUAUUAAAUUAUAAUUAAAAAAUAAAAAAUAAAAUUUUAGAAAAAGUUGGUGCACCGGGUGGACCAAAAAUGUCCCAUGCUCUCCCAAAAGGAAGAGCAGCAGGAUCGGGAGCCACGCGGCGCGAAUCCGGCGUGUCCUCAAAUAACUCUUUAUGUACACACUGUCCCAAAAAUUUCUGUCCUCCUGUCUGAUACUUUAGUAAUGGAGAUGCUUUCGUCUGAUGCUUCAAUAAUGGAGAUGCUUGGAGAAUACUGUGAUUUUUUUCGAUGUGAAGAGUUACAUGGCUGGCAAAUCAGCGAGCCAGCUCAUGUUCGGCUCUCAGUUCGGCUCGAUAUUUGGCUCAUUCAAACUCGGCUUGAAUUAAUUUCAAGCCGAGCUUGAGUAUUACUCGGCUCGCUCGAAUUAAACUCGAAAAGCUCGAAAUAUAUAUAUAUAUAUAUAUAUAUAUAUAUAUAUAUAUAUAUAUAUUCUACUNNNNNNNNNNNNNNNNNNNNNNNNNNNNNNNNNNNNNNNNNNNNNNNNNNNNNNNNNNNNNNNNNNNNNNNNNNNNNNNNNNNNNNNNNNNNNNNNNNNNNNNNNNNNNNNNNNNNNNNNNNNNNNNNNNNNNNNNNNNNNNNNNNNNNNNNNNNNNNNNNNNNNNNNNNNNNNNNNNNNNNNNNNNNNNNNNNNNNNNNNNNNNNNNNNNNNNNNNNNNNNNNNNNNNNNNNNNNNNNNNNNNNNNNNNNNNNNNNNNNNNNNNNNNNNNNNNNNNNNNNNNNNNNNNNNNNNNNNNNNNNNNNNNNNNNNNNNNNNNNNNNNNNNNNNNNNNNNNNNNNNNNNNNNNNNNNNNNNNNNNNNNNNNNNNNNNNNNNNNNNNNNNNNNNNNNNNNNNNNNNNNNNNNNNNNNNNNNNNNNNNNNNNNNNNNNNNNNNNNNNNNNNNNNNNNNNNNNNNNNNNNNNNNNNNNNNNNNNNNNNNNNNNNNNNNNNNNNNNNNNNNNNNNNNNNNNNNNNNNNNNNNNNNNNNNNNNNNNNNNNNNNNNNNNNNNNNNNNNNNNNNNNNNNNNNNNNNNNNNNNNNNNNNNNNNNNNNNNNNNNNNNNNNNNNNNNNNNNNNNNNNNNNNNNNNNNNNNNNNNNNNNNNNNNNNNNNNNNNNNNNNNNNNNNNNNNNNNNNNNNNNNNNNNNNNNNNNNNNNNNNNNNNNNNNNNNNNNNNNNNNNNNNNNNNNNNNNNNNNNNNNNNNNNNNNNNNNNNNNNNNNNNNNNNNNNNNNNNNNNNNNNNNNNNNNNNNNNNNNNNNNNNNNNNNNNNNNNNNNNNNNNNNNNNNNNNNNNNNNNNNNNNNNNNNNNNNNNNNNNNNNNNNNNNNNNNNNNNNNNNNNNNNNNNNNNNNNNNNNNNNNNNNNNNNNNNNNNNNNNNNNNNNNNNNNNNNNNNNNNNNNNNNNNNNNNNNNNNNNNNNNNNNNNNNNNNNNNNNNNNNNNNNNNNNNNNNNNNNNNNNNNNNNNNNNNNNNNNNNNNNNNNNNNNNNNNNNNNNNNNNNNNNNNNNNNNNNNNNNNNNNNNNNNNNNNNNNNNNNNNNNNNNNNNNNNNNNNNNNNNNNNNNNNNNNNNNNNNNNNNNNNNNNNNNNNNNNNNNNNNNNNNNNNNNNNNNNNNNNNNNNNNNNNNNNNNNNNNNNNNNNNNNNNNNNNNNNNNNNNNNNNNNNNNNNNNNNNNNNNNNNNNNNNNNNNNNNNNNNNNNNNNNNNNNNNNNNNNNNNNNNNNNNNNNNNNNNNNNNNNNNNNNNNNNNNNNNNNNNNNNNNNNNNNNNNNNNNNNNUAGUAGCUGAACUCUCUCUCUCUCUCUCUCUAUAUAUAUAUAUAAUUAUAUAUAAUAUAUAUUUUAAUUAUAUAAAAUAAUAUAUAUUAUGUAUUUUAAUUACAUGUAUAUAAAAUUUAGAUUAUUGGGCCCACAAAACCAAACCAGCAAAAUCCUACUCUAAUUGCUCUCUUUCUCUCUUUUUCACUUACUCGUAGAGUCACUUUUCUUAAGUUUUUUAAUAUUAUAAUAUUGUAUUUCAUGCAUUCAUUUUGUAUGUUAAACUAGAUAUUUUUUAUAUCAAAUUUUAGAUAAUAUUUUAUAAAAAUUAAACUAUAGAUUGCACGAUGUAAAGAAUUUCAAGCAACUCGUUUAGGGCUCGAGCUCGCUCAACUCGAAGUUAGGCUCGCUCGAGCUCGGCUCGAAUUAAUUUCAAGCCAAGCUUGAGCCUAAAUUUAGGCUCGAAAUUAAUUUCAAGCCAAACUUGAGCUGAGGUAAACUUGCUCGAGCUCAGCUCGUUUCCACCCCUAGAAGAGUCUCUCUAUUUUUUUGUCUGUUUUUUUUUUUCCGAAAAUUUUUCCCUAAGUUUUGCCUGUGAGGAAAAAAUCUCACAGCGGGAUUUUUAAUAUUUUUAAAUUUUUUUCCUGAUUUUUGCUGGCAAGGUAAAAUAUCUUGCAACGGGUUAUUUUAGUCGAUCUCAAUACUAUAUUCUGAUAAACCUGCUCCGGAACCACAAGGUCUUGAAUUUGUUGUGUCUAUUGUUUCUAUUGUAUCUAUUGUCUCCCUUAUUUUUGCAAAGGAGUUUGUAGAGCUUGCUAUUGGAUCUUCAGUUACUGCUCCAAAUUUCUUUUUCUCUCCAUCUAUUCGUAUUACUCAACAAGUUCCUCCUUCAUAUACUAUUGCUCGUGACACAAACAAAAUUAUUUUCUAUGAUCACUGUGAGUCAAUGCAAAGAGCCAUAUAAAAACUAAAUUACAGUAGUUAUUGAGUGCUUAUCUGUGAAACCGUAUGCUGGGAGGGUCUUGUGCACUAUCUGUCCAUCAAUCUGUCUCAGGUCGUGUUUAUCAUUUAAGAUGAAUAGUAUUCCAAUUUAGGUCCAAGCCUUAGGAUAUCUGCAUCAAAGAAAAUAUAAUUUGAUAAAAAAGUUAAGAAAUAUAAAACAAAGAAAUAUUUAUAAUCUAUAUUCAUUAGAGUAUAAUUUAUAUCUUGAUUUAUUGGUGUUGUAUUAUUUAAAUAAAUUAGCCAUUUGUUUUUGAGUAAAUAAUUCGGUAUAUCUCUUCUACUGUCUGUCUUGUUAUCUUUUUCUUCGUUUUGAUAUCUAGUUGUUCGUUUUUAUAAUGUAGUGUGUCAUUGGGUACUAUUAUUUUGUUUUUGAUCAUAAAUUUAUCUAAAUCCCAUUCUAAUCUUGCAUGUUGUUCUGAAUCAAAUUCUUAAAGAAAAAAGAAAUAUAAGUAGUAUAAAUGCUGAACUUUUAGCAAUAAUAUAUGCAUUAGACGCUUUUAAAUUAAAUAUAAUAAGUAAAAAAAAAAAAACUGUAAAAACAAAUUGUGAAGCAAUUAUAAAAUUUCAUAAUAAAAAAGAUGAAAAAGCAAGUUCUAGAAGAAGAUGGAUUAACUUUCAAGAUAGAAUAUCAUUAGUACAUAUCAAUUUUGAACAUAUUAAAGGAAAAGAUAAUUUAUUUCCCGAUCAAUUAAGUAGAGGGAUUUUAAAACAGGAUAAUACAUUUGAAAAUAACAUGAUAAAUUAUUUUCAGAUACAGCAAUGGAUAUAGAAGAUAUUAAAUUAGUCCAACAAAUAAAAACUCUAGUAUCUAAACUUUCAUAUUUAGAAGAUCUCUCUUUAGAUACUGAUUAUAUAAUAAUAGAAACAGACGGAGCAGUUUUAAAAGCAAAACCAAACCAAUACAGUACACAAAAAGAAGAAAAAUUAUGUGGAUAUGCUAGUGGCAAAUUUAAAGAAAAAGAAAAUAUAAGUAGUAUAGAUGCCGAACUUUUAGGUAAUAAAGGAAAAUAUCGUAGUAAGGUUGUUGCUCAACUGAAAGAAUAAAAGAUGAGACUGAUUUAUUAGAAUUUGACAAUUUUGAUUUUCCCUACAACUAUGAAAAAUUACUAGAUGAAGACUCUUUAACACUAGAUUAUGAACUAGAUUAUAUAAAUUGGGAAAAAAUGUUACUAAAUGUAGGAUUUAUUAAAAGCCAAGAAGACAUAGAUAAGAUAUUAAACCAACUAGAUAAAAUUGAAAUCAUGGGUGAAAACCCAAUCAAAUAUCGGGGAAACGAUAAAAUAUACUGCAAAUUAGAAAUAAUAAAUUCAGAAUAUAUUGUAAGAACAGCCCCUAUAGAAUUCUCAAAUGACGAAAAUGAACAAUUUAAACUACACAUUGGAGAAUUAACAAUAUUAGGAGUAAUAAGAAAAUCAAUAUCAAAACAUAGGUCUACAGCCUUUAUAGUAAUGAAACAUGCCGAAAUUGUAAGAGGAAAAAGCAAAAUGGUAAUAAACUAUAAAAGAUUAAAUGAUAAUACAAGAAUAGAUGGUUAUAAUAUCCAAGACAAAUCUCAAUUAAUCAAAUUUUCCCAGAUUUCAAGUAUCCAGUGCACACCUAUGCAAACUAGUAAAUUACUUGUGUUUAUGUCCAUUUCAAGUCCUUUUGUUUGUAUACCUAUCUUAAUAUGUUUAGCAAAUUCAUCUGAUUUUAUUAAAUAAUCUGGACUACAAUAAAAUAUUCCUCCAUUUUGAUUCAUGUCUAUUUCUGUUAAUCCUAAAUAUGCUUGUGGUGCUUUAUAAUGUCUAUCACUCUAAAGAAUAUAGAGUUUAUAAAUGAAGAUGAAGAUGAAAAUGAAGAAGAAUUUAGCUUUGAAGAGGAACAAAGAAUGAUUGAACAAAUAAGAUUAAAAAGACAACAAAGGGAUGAAAGAGAUAAAUUAGAUGGAUUUGUCCCAAAUAAAAUUUCUAUUUUUGAUAUGUUAAAAAAAUUAGAAGGAAUAACUCUUGUAGAAGAGGGACAAGGAUCUACUGGUCAAACACACCAAACACCACCUAGAACGCAAAAUCCACCACCUACUAAUCAAUCACAAAACCAACCACAAACUCAAAGACAAACAACAUUCUCAGCAAACACACCUUAUUAUGAUACUAUAAAUACACCCCCAGAAACUUAUAGCACAGGAAAUUUUUCCAGAUUUCAAGUAUCCAGUGCACCAGAAGAAUUAAUAUGCCCAUAUGGUAGGAAUGUUAGAUCAAAAGGAAAAAAGAUUACCAUUAGAAAAACCUAUUAAGUUACAAGAUGCAGGAAGUGGUAAAAUAUUAAACAUAGCAGCACAUGAUCCUCAAACAUGGGAUACUGUUAUAGAUGUUUGGAAAGGAUUAGUCGUAGCCGAUUAUAUUAGAAAUAUAUCUACAGAUAGUCCUGAAGAAAUGUAUAAGUAUUUAGAAACAUAUUUACGAGAAUCUACUAAAGCAUAUUGUUUAGUUCAAAUUUGAUGUAUAUAAACAUGUUUUAAGAUCCUUAGGCUUUGUAAAUAUGAUAGAAUGGGUAUAAGAUUAAUCAAAGAAAAAAAAGUUUCAAAAAAAUUUAUCAAUGAAAUUUAGAUUCAUGGGUAUGUGAGCAUAUUGUGUUGUUGAAUUUUCUAAAUAUUAUACUUAUCUUUGCUUCAAAGGAGAAUAAGUUGUGCAUGUAAAUAAGGAAUAAACCAUUUUAAGUCAAGAUAGAGCACUAUAUUCAUGCCACUAAUAAAAUAAAUUUUAAAAAAAGAUAAGUAAAACAAUUUUUAUAAGUAGCAUUGUUUUUUUUUUUUUUUUGAGUGGACAAGAUCCAUCUUUGCCAACCGUUGUAUUUUAAAAGGUUAAGCUAUUAGAGAACGGACUCCCCCUCACGUGCCUGAUAUGACUCGAACUCAGGAUCUCCUGCUCCGAUACCAUGUGAAACCACCGUUGUAUCCUAAAAGUUUAAAUUUUUAGAGUAUAACGGUUGUUUCACAUGGUAUCUGAGCGGGAGAUUCUAAGUUCGAGUCAUGCCACGCUUCUGGCAUUAGGAGGUUCGAUCUCUUGUUUUAUGAAUAACGUAAAUGGGUAUUUGGCUGAUUUUUGAUAAAUUAAAAUCGGCCCAUUCGAUUCGGUCUUCCAUAAAUUCGUAUACGACGAUUAAACGUAGGCCUAAAUAAGACCCAAUUGCACUAGGCCCAUUUCAAAGCCCAAUUAAAACUCAUUAAAUGAAAGGGAUUUGGGCUUUAGGGUUUUUCACACCCCCCCCAAAAUAAAACAAAUUAAUGAUUAAAUAAAUGUGUUAGUCACAAUCAAAUUAUACUUUUUUUUUCUUUUUCCUGUUCUCAGAAUCCAAUCAAAUCAUGCUACUUAGUACAAAAUAUUAUUAACAAACAAACUUUUUUUUUCCUAAUAAUCAUGGAAAAUUAAUAAAAUGUUUUUGAUUUGAGAGAGGGGGCUACAAUGAAGAAGAGAUUGUUUAAACUACUUGCAUUACUACAAUGCUCAAGGCUUUUAGUUCUAAGCCCAUUAAGAUAAAAACAGAAAAGAAAGAAAUGAAUAAUCAUAAUUAGGACUCAUCUUAUGUUUGUAAGAAGUAUGAGUUACAUGUAAUAGAAAAGCCGUCUUUCGCAGAUGAUACGUAUUAUAGGUUCAAGUAAAAUAUGAUUUCUGCAAUCUCAUCGAAAAACAGGUUAAGUGCGAACAAAGUGGAUAGAAAAAUGCUUUAUUCGUUCCUAUAAGCGAAAACGAAAACACGUCAUCCAGAUUGAACUUGGGCUCAUUUGGGCUGUAUAUAAGACAAUAUGCUUUUCCAUUUUCUAGUAGGACCACCGAAAACAUUAUAUUAUAAUAUACACAAUAUGAUAUUACGUACAAAUCUUACUGUAUGUAGCACAAAAAACAUGAUAUUGCACAAUUUCAUUGUAGUAUGCACAAUAUAAUAUUGCGUACAAUAUGAUAUCAUAAAAAGCAUGCAUCAUUGCAAUAUGCACAACACGACGAAAAAACAUGACAUUGUUCAAAAUCAUUGUAAUAUGUACUUUGAUAUUGCUUACAAUAUAAUAUUACAAAAAACAUCAUUAUAAAUAGAACUAGGCUGGAAUGCUAUUAAUAACACUAAGUUGUUGGUGCUAUUAAUUUUUCAGCAAUUGGAUGAAAAAAUGUACGAUUAGAAUGAUGCGAGCCCUCUAGGGUUGAGUAAGUUAUUUAUUUAAUAGUAUAAUCUAACGGAUAAAAAUAAUUAAAUAUUUAAAUUUACCGGCGGAAAACUUAAUAGCACCAAACGUUUAGUACUAUUAAUAGUAUCCCAGCCGGAUUCCAUUAUAAUAUGCACAAUAUAAUAUUACGUACAAAUCUUAUUAUUUGCACACAAUCUUACACAGCAAUUCAAAUGAAGCUCUAGUUAUGUUCAUAUAUAAUAUUUACUGUACAAAAGAAAAUAAUAAUAAUAAUAAUAAUAAUAACAACAACAUCAGCAACAAAAACAUGGCCCUAUCGAUUGACUUAAUAUUUUUAAUAAAUAAAUUUAUUAAAUAUGACCAAUAUUUACUGCUCGAGUUGAAUCAACACAAUAAAACACAAUUCCAUCACCAAUAUUUUUUAUUUGAAUUAAAGAGAUAUUGUCAACAUUGUUUUCCCAAAACAUAGAUCUAAACAUCAUAACAACUCUAAUAAAAUUUGAAAACAAACCUCUACUAGAAACCAAUACUUUUAUUUAUGGAUUGAAAAAAGAGAACAAACACUCACCGCAUCAUCACCAUUCAUCACCAUCAUGAUGAUCAUAAUCCGCCACAGCAUCAGCAUCACCAUAAUCAUAAUAAACAUCAUGAUGAUCAUGUUCAUGACCCUGAUCAUGAUCAAUGGCAUGAUCAUCGUUAACAUCGGCAUCAUCGUCAUCAUCGUGCGGGACCCGCUGGUACUUCUCCUCGGCGGUGUACUUCGCCUGGAACCCCGAUCCCGCGUCGCGCACUUUGACGUUCUCGUACCAGCGGUAACCCUCGCCGCCGCGGUCCUGCUGCACCCCGGUGUUGUAGCGGUAGUAGCUCCCCGUCGACCUAUCCUCCCACGCCACGUGGUACCUCGCGUCGGGGGCGGCGACCGUACCCCGGCCCACUGUGGUCGGGAUCGCCGAGGAAUUGGACUUGUCGCCGUAGUACCGCUCCGUCGUCCCGUACUCCGGCGCCACGUGGCGCGGGGGCCCGCCUCCCGAGGCGUAGGUCGGCGCGGAAUUGAGCAUCUCCGCGGACCAAAUCGCCGGUCGGGAACGGGUAUUCUCGGCGCUGUUGUUGUUGUUAUUCGCCAUUUGCGUGCUCACUCGCGGCGCUUACGCUAGGGUUUAGGUAUUUAUCCAUUUUGUUACAGGGGAAGGAGCACGGGGUGCAUCAAGAUUUGUGCGCGGGACACGUGGCGAGAAAUGUUAAAGGAUACGGAUAUUCGAUUAUUUGAAUUCGAACCUGAAAGUGUCGGGUUUUAGGUUCCGAAUGAUUUUUUUUUGGAAAAACUUCAAAAAGACCCCAAUGUGACUUUGUAGUUUCUCAUUUUGCCCCCCUAUAUUUUAAAAUAUAUUAAUUUUCUUCCGGUGGUUUCUUUUUUUUAUCAAUUUUUUUUUUUUUUAAAUCAGUGAUAAAGUUAAAAUUAAAGGGUACUAAAGUGAUUAUUUGAUAAAUCUAGAUGGGUAUUUGAAGUUUUUUGUAUAUAAUUUAAUGAAAUAUUAACGAAAAAGCUACCAAAAAAAUAAAAACGAAACCAUAGGAGGGCAAUUUGAUACAUUUUAAACCACAGAGGGGCAAAGUGAGAAACUACGAAACCACGGGGGGAGUUUUUGAAGUUUUUCCUUUUUUUUUUUUUUUUGCACCUCAUCUGAGUUUGAACUCGAUCCGAACCUGAGUAAAUUUUGCAUUGCAUUUAUAUAAAAAUAUUCCAUGUUAUUUGAAUUUGUACUUUAAAGAUUUAGAUUUUACUUUUAUAUAUUUUAAAAUAUAAUAAUUAGAGAUAAAUGAUUGUUUCGAGCUAGAGUUUUCGCGUUCAGAUUAAGGUUGUCGGAUUCGAUUUUGUAUAUGAAUUUUCAAAACUUGUCGGUUCGGGUUUGGGUUGGGUUCGAGUUCAAGUUUCGGGUUUAAUUAACGGUUUUAAAAUUUUGAAAAUCCGCUCCAAAUCCGACUCAAUGACAUUAAUUUCUGCGUACCCUCAAGGCCUCAACCCUUCCAUUAAAUUUUAAAAUUUUAAAAAACUCUCCAAUUUAUGCAGCCUCGAACUUUAAUUAACAUAAAUUUUAGGAUAAACUUUAAAUACCACCAUGUGAUUUCGCACUUUCUCACUUUAAUACCCUAUAGUUUAAAUUGUAUACCAACUUAAUAUCCUGUAGUUUUAUUUUUAUUUUUUCGUCAGUUUUUUCGUUGAUAUUUUAUUAAAUUAUAUACAAAAUACUUCAAAUACCUUACCUAGAUUUAUCGAAUAUUCACUUUAGUACUUUUUAGUUUUAACUUUGUCACUAAUUUAACAAAAAAAAAUUAGUGAAAUUAAUAGUAAAAAGAUAAAAAUAAAACCACAAAAUACUAAAUUGAUACACUUUAAACUACCGGGUACUAAAGUGAGAAAGUGUGAAACCACAGGGGUGGUAUUUGAAAUUUUUUCUAAAUUUUAUGAUAAAUAAAUUAUAUUUUUGGUUCUCAAACUAUGAGACGUGUGAUACUUUAGUCGUCUAAUUUUAAUUCGCUGUAAUUUCUAGGUUAAGCUAUCACUUUAGCCCUUUUAAUUAGCCCUCAAACAGUAGUAAUUUUAAUUUUUGACUCAAACUAUAAGAAAUGCGAUACUUUAGUCGAUGAACUUUUUGAAUUGUUGGAACUAAGUUCCACAAUCCCACUUUUUUGAACAAAUAUUAAUGAGUUACUAAUAUCGAAGUAAUGUAAAUUUAUGUUAGUUUAUUUGUUGUAUUUGCUUACCAUUGUUUUUUUUUUUUGAGAAAGAUAAAUAGCAUGCUACCCGCUUCGUUUAUUUCAUUUAGAAAUAAAUUUAGCUGUAAAUUUGAAUCAACUAGGAUUCGAACUUGGGUCUCGAAUACCAAUCACCAAGUUCUUUACCACUUACUUUAGGGAUGGACGGUUAUUCGCUUACCGUUCAUAAUAAGUAUGUAUCAUAUAUUUGCUAUUUCAUUAUUAUACGGUGAUAUUUGCUACAUGUGUUUACAUAUACGGAGAGAAAAAUAUAUGGAACUUUUCGAAAUAGCCACACAACAUUGCCAAAGAAAAUUAAAAAAAAACCCUUAAAGAGGGCAAACAAAAUUAUACUUACAUACAUAUACUCCGAGCCCUGCUACAUAUAACUACUUUUAUAUAAUAUUUUUAAUAGCGCCACACAUUUGAUGUUACCAAAUUUUUUACUAUUAAAUUUAUUCUUUUCAUAAUUUUUACUUCUUGAAUUAUGUUAUUCUACUGUUGACCACUAAAUUAUAGGGGAUUAUUAUAAUCCUAACCACACGAUUCUUCAUCCAAUAUCAAAAACAAAACUAUUGUGCUAGAAGCACUCCGGUCUAUAUAUAUAUAUAUAUAUAUAUAUAUAUAUNNNNNNNNNNNNNNAUAAAAGAGGUAAAUCUAACGACAGAAAAUUUGAUAGCACCAAAUGUUUCGUGAUAUCGAUAGUACCACAGCCGGACUAUAUAUAUAUAUAUAUAUAUAUAUAUAUAUAUAUAUAUAUAUAUAUAUAUAUAUAUAGAAUUAGGCUGGAAUACUAUUAAUAGUAAAACGUUUUUUUUGCUAUCAAAUUUUUAACCCUUGGAUGAAAAAUUAUACGGUCAGGAUGAUAUUUGUCGGUUAGAGUUGAGUGGUCCUUCUAGGGUUGAGUGGUCCCCACUCGGUUAUAGUAUUUAAUCCAAUGGUUAAAAAUAAUAAAAAAAGUUGAUCCAAAGGCUAAAAAAUUAGUAGCAAUAAGGAGAUUUUGCUACUAAUAGUAGUCCAGUCCAACUAUAUAUAUAUAUAUAUAUAUAUAUAUAUAUAUAUACAUAUAUAUAGAGAGAGAGAGAGAGAGAGAGAGAGAGAGAGNNNNNNNNNNNNNNNNAUAUAUAUAUAUAUAUAUAUAUAUAUAUAUAUAUAUAUAUAUAUAUAUAUAUAUAUAUAUAUAUAGUUUGACUAUGGUGCAUGUAAGAGUACAAAGUACUUACGUCUUUGAUAAUUUUCACCCGUUAGAUUAUACUAUUCAACCAACCACUCACUCAACAUUAGACUGCUUACAUCAUCCUAACUGUAUAUUUCUUAAUCUAAGAACCGAAAACUUACAAACACUAACUUAAUACUUUUAAAAGCAUAAGAGCUUAAUUCUCUCUCUAUAUAAUAUAAGCUCAAGCGAUCUCUUCAAUGGUGUCGAGCGCCGGCCGCCACGGCUGCUGCCGCCACAUAAUCCUCUCCUCUCCCUGCGUCGUCGCCGCUGUUGCAGUCGCCGUCGGAAAUAUCCUCACUCCUAUGCCGCUGCCGCCGCCGCUCCUGCACUGGUGGUGGUGCUUCUUCUUCUUGGCUCUCUUGGUGGAGAUGGAGGACAGUGCGGCGGCCUCCUCGUGGGUGAGGACGGAGUAGAGAAGGUCGGUAGGGAGGAGGAAGUAGAGGCGGCGGGGGGCGAGGGGCUCGUCGGGCGGCAGCGCGGGCACGCGGUGGCCGACGGUGAGGCGCGCCGCGUCGCAGACGAAGUGGCCCGGGUGGUCCAGCAGCAGGUCCGCGACGCGCGUGGUGGGGCUCGCGUAUAAGUGCUCGACGACGCCGCCGCCGCAGCCGGGGGUGUUAGGGUUGGAGUAGUGGACUACUUUGAUGGUGUAGGAAGAGGUGGUGGAGUAGUGUGGUGUGCAUUGCAAGGUGUUGCCCAUGAGAGAGAGAGAGAGAGAGAGAGAGAGAGAGAGAGAAUGGAAGGAGAUCGAGGAGAGGAGAGAUGCUUGCUUAUGUUUCUAUUGCAUGCUUUGUAUAUAAAUGGGUGAUGCGGGAUCUAGCUAGAAGAUGAUGACAAAAGGAGAGAGAGAGAGAGAGAGAGAGAGAGAGAGAUGAUGAAAGAUGCUUCUUGUGAUCUUGUUGCUGUCUUUGUGAAUUGGUGAUGGGAGCUAGCUACAAAUGGUUACAGAGGGAUAAUAUAUAUAUAUAUAUAUAUAUAUAUAGAGAGAGAGAGAGAGAUAUAGAGAGAGAGAGAGAGAGAGAGAGAAGUGGUUCCUAAGCGCUAACCAACUAUUCCAAAAGCACACAUGCUGAUAGGAAAGACGCAUCCUUCGCACUUAAGCGCUCAGCCACAUCACUCGCGGAAUUCGAUCUGACUCAACCCACCUAAACGUUACGUUUAUUGUUGGGCCUCUUGCUAUUAGGUCUAUUGUGGACCACACCGUCACUCAACUUAUUAGACUCACUCAACUCAACUUAUUAGUCUCCUGAGCUUAUUAUUACGGGAUAGAAUGUUGGACUUAUUUUAGUCCAAUAAUAAAUAACCAAAUGAAGUAGUAGGCGAAGGGUCGCUUUUGGAUAGGGGUUUUUGUUUAGUGAGAGGAGCACAUGGGAGAGAGGUAGGGGGAGUUGGGGGAGGUUGUUUGGUGAUGCAUUGGAAAAGGACAGAGGUAGCUUGUAGGAGCCAAAUUAAGGAAUAAAAACAGUUUUUUUUUUCUUUCUUUUUUUUUUUUUUUAAGAGAUAGAUAACAUGCUACCCGCUUUGUUUAUUUUAUUUAAAAAUAAACUUAGCUGGAAAUGUGAAUCAACUAGAAUUCGAACUUGGGAUCUCGAGUACUAACCACCAAGUCUUUUGUCACUUGCUCUAGAGAUGGCUGGUAAUAAAAACAGUUGUUAGUGCAUGUAUACCAUGCAUGCAUAGAUAGAGCAACAAAAGAGAGAGAAACAGAAACUGAUCAUGAUUGAUCAUCAGGUACUGCUGCAUCAAUCAAGGGGGAAUUAGAAGAGUUGCAACCACUCUAGCUUGCUCUCUCUCCAUUUAAGAUGUGCUGUCACCAAAAUACAUACAUGCACUCCUCUUCUACUUAUUGGUUGUUGUCAUAUUUGUUAAGGAAACUGUGCCAUUAUUAUUAGAGCAGUACUGCUAGAUCUGCAACUAUUUAUUGACUAUCUAUUAUCUUACAAAUUUCUAAUCCCAAAACUGAUUUUUUUUCGCACUAAUCUGUUCAAAUUUUUGUUUUUCAAUACUUAAACUCGAAAAUAAGUUUGUAUAUAUAGACCCCAGGAGCAAGAGUCUCACAAUAUCUUUUAAUGUGUGUGUGUAGUUUUAAUUUGGUGGGUGAGCAAUAUAAUUAUAACUUAACUUAAUUCCUAGAGAUAAAAUAUAUAUAUGUCAAAAUUACAAAAAACCCUUCUAUCAAAACCUGAUUUUUCACUUCCCCUCCUAUCAUUUAAAAACCUACACUUCGCCCUCUUGUAAAAUGAUGUGUGUGUAGUUUUAAUUUGGUGGGUGAGCAAUAUAAUUUCAUCAGCUUAAUUCCUAGAGAUAAAAUAUAUAUAUGUCAAAAUUACAAAAAACCCUUCUAUCAAAACCUGAUUUUUCACUUCCCCUCCUAUCAUUUAAAAACCUACACUUCGCCCUUUUGUAAAAUGAAAAAUAUUCAUUUCACCUCCUGCCGUUAGUGAUGCGUUAGGGUUUCGUUUAUAAAAUAUUAUUAUAUAUUUUUUUAUGCCAAAAAUGCUCUCAGUCUUCUUUUCUGUUGGCAAAAAUGGUGAGGGGCAAAAUAGUCAUUUUGUCAUCAUAGUUUACAUCGUAACCCUCUGUGACUAUUUUUCAUUUUACAAGGGGUCAAAGUGUAGGUUUUUAAAUGACGGGGGAGGAAACUGAAAAAUCGAAUUUUAACAGAAAGAUUUUAUGUAAUUUAGCCUAUAUAUAUAUUAAUAAGAAGGCUCACCACAAAAAAGAGUUUUUGGGCAGUAAUGAAUAUGCUGAUUCCAGCUUUGCUUACAUUCUACAUAAAUAUUAUUGGUUGACAUCUGGCUUUGUUGUCCUCAUUCAAAAUUGUCCUUAAUCCAAAAGUCUCUUCUUCAUAUCCUACAAAUUAAUAGUAGGGUACUUGAGCUUUGUUAGGUAGUCCCAUUAAUGAUAUAUAUAAUAACAUUCCAACUUCUUUUUUCUUUUUUUAUAAUACUAUAUUUGCGCAUGAUUAUUAAGGAUCAGAAGUAUCAUAACACAUAUUUAUAUGCUAAGAACUAAUAAUUUUACAACUGAAAAGGCUAAGAACUAGCUUUGAUAUUAUACUAUUAUAUCUAAAAAAUUAAUUUGAUCAAUCAGAAAUAAUAAUAUAUGCUCUUCCAAGUAUUGGAAUUUUGAAGUUAGUACUUGCAUUUGUACCUCCAUAGCAUUAAUUGCUUAUUUUCACGUGAAUCUUACCUGGAGUUUCCAUAACAAAAUAAUAAUAAAAUAAAAAAAAAGAAAAAAAAAAAGAAACAUGUAUCGAUCGAUGCAAAUAAGAUUAUGCAUAAAUAACAUAUACACCCAUAGAUAUGAAAAUAUAUAUAUAUUGAACUAUGCUACUACACUAUCGAUAGUCCAAGCGUUUGAUGCUAUCGAGUUUUUGGCCGUUGGAUGAAAUUGUGGUUUUAUGAUUCGUGCUGGCUCUAUUACCAUGAGACAACACCAAAAACACUAAGAAAUAAUCAAAAGAAAAAUGUAAAAUAUCCUCACAUAAUGAAGAUAACCAUAGUAAUCCUCUCAAGUGCUACUAAUUAUUGUAAUGCUUGAUUACCUAAAGUUGUAUUUAGAAAUAGAAUAAUUAAGAAAUAAAGUAUUUUUUUCCAUUUAUUCUUCCAAAUACAGCUAAAUUUGACAACGAUUAUUUAUUCUGGUUAAAGCAGGUUAUUUCAGAUUAUUUUCUGGUCGUUUUUCUACACCAUACUAUUCCAUUAUUUUUCACUAUCCAAACAGCAAUUUUAGUUAUCGUAGAAAAUAAAUUAAGAAAUGCCAAACCAAAUACAAAAUUGUUCUUAUUUCUCACUAUUCCAAAAUAUUGAAUUGUUCCAAAAAUAAAAAUAUUUAUCCUUUUAAGCAUUAUAUUAUUACCAAAAGCAUUCUAAUUAAGAGCAUAUGUGUCACUUAACUAAGUUAAUCCAUAGAGCCUUCAUGCUUCAAUUGCAAGCAUAACACUAAUGAUUGAUCGCGUAAUAUAAUACAAAUUUUUUAAGCUAUAAGUGCGAAAAAUACAAUUGCUUUGGUUGUAGGACAUUAAUUAUCCAAUCAUUAGAGGAGAUUCUAAGAACUAAUUAAUAAGAAUUAAUUAAGAAGCUACAUAUUAGUUUAAUCCCGAGAUUUACGGUAAGUUAGGUUGGUAAUUUGGCAAAAUAAAUAUAUAAUAUAAUAUUAAGAGCCUAUGAAAGAAACAAAUUAGAAAACUAUUUUUGAAGCAAAUAGAUGAGAUGGUGCAUUGUAGAUGCCAUUAUGGUCAAAGUAGUGUAUAGUAGUGUAUUUAUAUAGUAUCAAAUUUGUAAGGUUCAACCACUCUUUUUUUAAUACAACCAGAAUAAUAGGAUUAAAUAAAAUAUUUUAAAUUAUUGAUCAUCCCAUUAAUUUUAUCUCCUGUAAUUAAUCUUGAAGAUUUGCUUGAUUAGAUUGAUAAUUUUGAUUUUGAUUUUUGAUUUUUUUUUGUGUGCAAAUCAUCUUUUUGUCACUAAGACUUGGUCCAAAUAGAUUAAUCGAGACUUUUAUUGCUCUUCAAAUAUAAUGUUCUUUGGUAACUUAAAUCCUGUGCGCUUGGAUGUUGGAAUAGGGUAUGAAAUGAUAACUUAUUCAGUACGAAAAUUUUCUUGUAUGACUGGAAGAUACGAGUUUGAUUCGUGAAAUAUCUUGGCAUUUAUACCUAAUUUGAUAGACUAAGAUAUUUCACUUAUGAUGUCUUUUAUCUAAUUUUAAACAAUAAAUUAAAACCUAAAUAUAAUAUUCAUUAUAUACUUAUUUUGACCGUUGUCUAAGUUUAGCAAGAGUUAGUGGAAUACUAAAGGCGAAAAAAUUAAUAAUAAAUACUAUUUAUAUACUAUCAAUAGUAUAUUAGAUAACUCUAUAUUCAUAUUCUAAAAUUUUUCCUUUUUUGAGAGAGUCAUGCGACAAGAGAACUAAAUUUUACGUAAGUGUAUACAUACAUAUUUCAAUUUAAUAAAUGAAAAAAAUGGUGCAUAAGAAACACCCCAUUCUCACUUACUAGAGUUCUCCUAAUCCAAUACAGUAUCAAAAAUUUUGAUAAAAACUUUUAGCUUGGAACAUGUUGUUAAUAUUUUGUUAUGAAUGACACUACAACCCUUUUGAGAAAAAGAGUUGUAAAAGAGAGGGGAAAAAAAAGAAAAAAAAAAAGGAAAAACUGAAUCACAGAACAAUUUGUUAGGAUAGUUUGAUUUAAAGAGUUUAACUUUAUUUUAACAGUACAAUUUCAUUUUCUUCUUACUUCUUUUUUAAUUUGACCUCAUAAGAUAGGAAAAAAAAUAUUUUUAAAAAAUUUUUACUCUUUGUAUUUUUUUUUUUCUAUCUCGCGUUCUCCCUCUCCCUCGCCCUCUAGCAGAACCAUGGCACUCGUUGGAGAAGCACGGGCACGUCUUUGUCCUCACCGUUAUGGACGACAACGAGCACUAUCUCAGCUACGACCACAUCGCCUCUACGACCACAUCGCCUCUGUCUACUUCGCUCUCACCAGCACUAGCUCUGAGUGCUUCUCCUCCGACACCGGCGUUGCCGCUCUCGGUACCGUCGCGAAGGACCAUGGAGGCGGUGGAGAAGGGUGAGAAAAAAAAAAAAAACACAAAAAAUAAAAAGAGGAGAUAAAAUAAAAUAAGGAUAUUUUGAUCAGUUUUUUUAAAAUCCGGAUCGAAUCUGUAAAAUCUAAAAUAAUGGCCUACUUUUUGCAAAAUUUCAAAACAGAUGAAUUCUUUAUGCAAAUUGGCCUUCCUCUUUUGAUGUUUCUUUUUUCCUAUGAAAUUUGAUUUUAAUGGACAAAAAUACUCCUUUCAAAUUUUAAUAUAAAAAAAUAACUUAUAACAUAAAACUGUAUUAUUAAGGAUAUUAUAGUAAACUUAUUAAUAUGCCUCAUUUAUUUCCAAGGAUAAAGCAUAAUGUUAUUUAACUAAGUAUUAUUCAAAAAUACCAAUUAAAGACACUACACACCCAAAGCGCAUUUCCAAACUAAGCCUAAGUUGUACAAAAUAAGUGUGAAACCUUUAAGAUGGGAAGGGUUAAAAUGUCACCUAAGAUUUAACACAAUUUGAAAUGAACAUUUGAACUUUAAGAGCUUCGAUUUUACUUUAUAUAAUCUUCUGAUACUUUUGCAAUAGAUAUCUAAACUUCGAAUUCAAUUAUUUAUCACUUAACUAUCUAGCCCUUAGAUUAAUACUAUUUACACCUACUAUUACUAAACCUCACAUCAAAAGGCUAAAAAAGUAGAUAGUAAACACUUGCUAUCAAAAGUAUUCUAGCUUCGUUCCUAAACUUCAAAGUUUUGAUACACUAGCUUAAAUUGCAAACUAAAAAAAAUUCGAGAAAUAUUUCAUCCAGUAACAGAAAUAGGCCAUUUUAAAACAAACCCCUCCACUAUGUUUAAUUUGAUUAAAUAUCCCAUCAACUUUUAAUUGUUUCGAAUUAAGUUAAUUUUCUAAAUUGAUUCGAAGAUUUAUUAAAUUUAACAGCUCCAUUGCCUACCAACCAGCUAUUAGCAAGUCAGAAAAGUUCAAAACAUUAAAUCAACAAAAUCUCCAACUUAAUUAAUAAUAGCAACAUCAAAAGUUGAUGGGGUGUCUAUCAAAAUAACAAUAAUAGAGGGGUCUCAAUCUCCAAAUUACCUAUUGUUGAGAGGUUCCUUGUACAUUUUGUUUACUUGAAUAGAAUCCAAGAGAGAGAUUAACACCACUGUGCUGGUAAAGAACAAGCAAAGCCAAACAUGUAGACACAGAAAAAUAACAACUCGAACUAAUAAACGAGCCGAAAAGCAAAGAUACCAAAAGAAUCGAAGCACUCGAAAGCAAGGAAAUUGCAGAAAUUCUUUUAUUCAGUUAAAUUUAAAAGGCAAAGGAGGAAAAAAGAAAAAUCUAAAGGAACCUGCAAAAGCAGGCGCGAGCUCUUCCACGAAAAAUCUACAGUUUAUGGAGCAUAAAUUGACUAUCAAGCUUUGCUGACCUCAAAAGGAUGGUUGUCGCGUAUGCAGCGAUUGCUCGCCGCACCUUUUCAAUUAUUCUGAGAGAAAUAAAAAGCCUAACUUAUCAUGAGGCCGAUUCCUUGGCGAUCUUCUCGGCCUUGGCGAUAACUUCUUCGAUCCCUCCAACCAUGUAGAAUGACUGCUCGGGAAGGUCGUCAUACUUGCCAUCCAAAACACCCUAUCAAUCGAAAGAAGAAAAAAUAUCAAAUGCAUAGACACUGUAACGAAGAUUAGAACUAAAAUGGAGGUAGCUGACAGCUUGUUGGACGACAACAGUUGAUGUUCGGCUAAAAACUCAGCUCAAUGCGAGGGCUCAGGAGUGAGCUCAUUUAGUAUAAAAGCAGGGGUCGAGCUUAAGCUUAUGGCUCACUGUUGUUUUACUAAUUAUUGCAAGAAAAUCUCGGUCCUUUUUCGGCUACAAUACCCAUAUUUUUUUACUUUCUAAACUCGAACACUGGAUCAUUGAAUGGGUCAGUAGAUGACAGAUCUUUUGCAAUGCAUUCACCAUCGAGAUUUGUUAGGCCCGGAAAAAGGAAAAAAAUGAAAUUCAAUUUUUUUUUUUGUAUCCACUCUUUUGUUUUCUAUAAGAAGAAGCCCGUUCCACAUCCAGCCAAUCUAGAAUCCCAUUUGCCAACGUAUUCGAAAUUAAAGUAUAGCCAAACAAGACCUCUCCUCCUAUUUCUAUCAGAACAAUCAUAAUUUAGUAUUUACAUAAAGAUUUAGUUUUUUAAAUUGAGUUCAGCAACAAAUAUUUGAUCUCAGUUUGCCUAAAUAGGAACCUUACUAAUCUAUUUCCCAAGUUAAACUAUUAAAUGGGGUUAUCCUAGGAAACUCAACUUUGACAUAAAAUUCAAUGAUCUGCUCUGGUAUGCUAGAUGAUAAAAAGAGAAUUUCUCACCUGGAAGCUCUGAAUACUUUCCUUCAACUCAACAUACUUUCCCGGCGCACCCGUGAACACUUCGGCGACAUGGAACGGUUGGCUCAAGAACCUCUGGAUCUUUCUAGCACGAGCAACGGUCAACUUGUCAUCUUCACUGAGCUCGUCCAUUCCCAAAAUGGCAAUAAUAUCUUGAAGAUUCUUGUAGUUCUGAAGAACCUUCUGAACACCACGAGCAGUGUUGUAGUGCUCUUCUCCCAACACGUGUGGAGAAAGCAUUCUAGAUGUCGAAUCAAGUGGAUCGACAGCAGGAUAGAUACCAAGUUCGGAAAUCUAGUAAAAAGAAUACAAACAUAUAAGCAAAUAUUCCAAAGAAAAGUUAGUUAAAGGGAAAAUUGGGGGCAAAUGGGUCAUAUUUCUAGCUAAAAAUGCAUGGAGACACCCAGAACCAUAGGUCGUGUUGAAACAGACCCUCCCAUCUUGUUUUGAAUUGACAAGUCCUCAACUUUCGCAUGUUUAAGUUUUUCGUGUUUCAGUCUGUUCAAUUAAAAAAUCCGUUAAAACUACAGACUCUGUUAGCUAUCAGCAGUUAAUUACAAACAGAAUAAACAGUUCCAUCAACCGAAAACAAGACUGAGCCGAUAAACUUAAUGUAGCCACUGCUCCAUUUAGCAAAAUCCCUGAUUCAACAGACUGAAACAACUCAAAUAAAAUUAAAAAAAACGUUGCAAGGACGUCAAUUAAAGAAACUAAGGCCAUGUUUGAUAUCGCUGCCAUUUUCUUCUGGCACCAAUUCGAUAUAAUAUGAUACACCAGCAGAAGACUUUCCUCUUGUUAUCAUUGUUAAUUAGCUUGCAAUGCAUCCCGUCCAAGUGAUGGAUGUUAGCUUGUUUUUAAAAAAAUUGAAAGCUAAAAAAAAAAAGAAAAAGCUUUCAAGUUUAUGGCUUUUUCUUUUGUGCCAAACAAAUGCCUUGGAUGAAUGCAAGCAAUCCAACCACCCCCUUCUAUACUAUUUUAUAUACAAAUUCUAUUUAGAAAAACAAAAAAAAUAGCAACGAUGCCAAACAAGGACUAGCCUUCGGGGCACAUUUCGAAAUUAUCUGUAGUUGAGAAGUGUUUUUUUAUCAACUUAUUUCUUCAAUGACUUCAAGGGCAAGUGGAAGCUCACCUGGCGAGACAACACGGUUGUGGCAUCAAGAUGAGCAAAGGUGGUUGCGGGAGCUGGAUCAGUCAAGUCAUCAGCAGGCACAUAAAUAGCUUGUACAGAGGUAAUGGAACCCUUCUUUGUUGUUGUGAUACGUUCUUGGAGGCCUCCAAGGUCAGUAGCUAAGGUUGGUUGGUAGCCGACAGCAGAUGGGAUACGGCCAAGUAAAGCAGACACUUCUGAGUUCGCCUUUACAUAAAUUGACAUGUAUUACAUAAGAACUAUCAUAAAUUCAAGUGCUCAAAGGUUAAAACUCUCGAAAGCUUACUUGGGUGAAGCGGAAAAUGUUGUCAAUGAAAAGGAGCACAUCUUGCCCUUCGGCAUCACGGAAGUGCUCAGCCACAGUUAACCCAGUAAGCCCAACACGAGCACGAGCACCGGGUGGCUCAUUCAUUUGCCCGUAGACAAGAGCACACUUGCUCUCUCCCUACAACAUUAUAUUAUAAUAUUUAUGAUGAGAUAUACAAAGAGAUCUUCCGAAAACAACAGAAGCAGAAAGGAGGAAAUCUUUGGACCUGUUUGUCUCCAAGCUUAAUGACACCACUCUCAAUCAUUUCUCUGUACAAAUCAUUGCCUUCACGAGUACGUUCACCGACACCGGCAAAGACAGAGAAACCACCUGGAUGAUAAACAAGCUAUAAGUGCACGAUAGGCAACUACCUAAAUACAGAUAGGUGAUAAAGAUCAAACAAAACCAAUUCAUCCAAGCAAGAUAAUUAUUUUACAAACCAUGGGCUUUAGCGACAUUAUUGAUCAGUUCCAUAAUAAGAACAGUUUUGCCCACACCAGCACCACCGAACAGCCCAAUCUUUCCACCUCUUUGGUACGGUGCAAGUAGAUCAACAACCUACAGAAAAAGAACAUGAUAAAGCCUACUUCUUUCAAAAAAAUUCUAGAGAACACACCUUACAAAUGAAGAGAUCAGAAAAGAUUAUUUACCUUAAUUCCUGUGACAAGAAUUUGUUGUUCAGUCGCCUGCUCAACAAAAGCUGGGGCCUCGCGAUGAAUGGGAAGGAAAUGGUUGGUCUCUAUAACCAAAGAUGAUUGAAAUACAAGCUUGGUGAGACACUAGGUGGUAACAUCCAUUAAAAAACACAACUAAAGCAGGCGAUAAAACAACAAUAAAAACAUUCACUCGGAAGCUUACUUAUUUCACCCUUCUCAUCAAUGGGUUCCCCAAUGACAUUUAUAAUCCUCCCAAGUGUAGCCCUACCAACAGGCACCUAGUAAAAGUUCAAGCACAAUCAUCAGCCAUUCCGAAAAUGAAUGAAAUCUAAGGAGCAUUCAACUAAGCAAUUACAUAAAUUGCAAAUAAAAUCCUUAAAACACCCUAAAACACCCAUUAACAUCUUGGAGAACAAUUAAAAUCAUAACUACCCAAAUUUUGAUGGCUCAACAUCCAUAUAAAUGAGGGUACGAAUAAUAAAAUAAUAAAAGGAUAAAUGUUGCGGCAAUGCAACACAAAUUAAACAUACAAAAUGAUAGAUUUCAACAUGGAGAUACCCUAAAAAAUAAAUCUGGGAUAAAAAAAUAACAAUUAUUAUCCUAAAAGGCAAUGAAAAAAGAUGUAAAAUUUUAAACAUCCAUAGAUAUAAAAGUCGUCAAUAAGCUAUAAAUUUCGUUUUUAACUAAUCAUCAAAAGUAAAGUAAUCUUAUAAACGUAGAUCUAAAUCAACCUUUAUAACGUAAUCUACUCAUCAAUUUACAAAUUCCUACACAGAUCACUCCACAGUACCAUUUCAACCAAUCAUAUCAAUCACAAAUCAAACCAUGACGAGAAUACAAGAGAGAAGGGGAGAGGGAAACUUACGGUGAUUGGAGAUCCGGUGUUCAAAACCCUUUGCCCCCGUACAAGCCCCUCGGUCCCGUCCAUGGCGAUCGUCCUCACCAUGUUCUCCCCAAGAUGCUGCGCCACCUCGAGCACGAGCCGGAUCGAGUUGUCCAUCACCUCGAGCGCGGUGAGGAUCGGGGGGAGCCCCUCGUCGUAGCGCACGUCGACGACGGCGCCGAUCACCUGGCACACCUGGCCGAUCGCGCCGGCGCCGGUGAACUCAUCGGUGAUCUUCCCGCUGGGCCCGGCUCCGGCGGCGCCGGCCUUCGGCGGGGGCGGCGCCGCCACGGCGGCGGAGGUGGCAUACUCGACGGCGCGGGAGAGAAGAAACCCAGCGGGGGAGGGGCGGCGCGGGGCAAUCGGGGCGCGGGGAGUCGCCGCAGCCGCGGCACGGCCGGGCGCCGGCGAUCGACGAGCAGAGGAGCGGAGGACGGAGGAGAGGACGCGGCGGGUCGCCAUUGGAGGUGGAGGGAUCGGAGCGGGUUUGGGGACGGAGCGAGCUAGGGUUUGGAGGUGAGGAGGAGACUCACCAUUAGGUGACGAGAGAGCAGAAGAGACACGAGAGGAGGGUUUUAAAUUAUUGCGUAAAAUAUACGAAGAAUCCAUGAACUAUAGCAUUAUUAUAAUUUAGGGUUAAUUACACUAAUGGUCCCUCACCUUUACACUAUUUUUCGAUUGGUUCCCCAACUUUUUUUUUUUUGCAAUCAAUUUUCUAAUCUUUUAAUUUUAUUUUAAUUAAGUUCCAACCGUUAGAUAACUGUUAAAAUUAAUAAAAAAUACCACGUCAGCACCAUGGAGGCUCCAUGUCAGCGCCACGGUGGCGCAGUGUCAGCGGAUUGCAAAAAAAAAAGUGGUGGGGACCAAAUUAAAAAUCAGAGCAAAGGUUGAGGACCAAUGGUGUAAUUAAUUCAUUAAAUUUAUAAAUUCAGAAAAAAUUAAUUUAAUAUUUAAAUUUUAAAUUUAAAUUUUGAUUUUGGAUUCAAAUUUAAAUUGAAAUUCAAAUUCCAAUUUUGUAUUUAAUUUUAAAUUCAAAUUCACAUUUGGAAUUCUAAAUUCUAAUUUAAUUUCAAACUUCGAUAUGAAAUUUUAAAUUCAAAAUGUGAAUUUGAAUUCGAAGUUUAAAUUCAAAUUUAGAAUUGAAAUCAAAUCUUNCCUAAUUAUUUCCACUUUCGGUGUUAUGUGGUCGGCCGCCCCACAAGGUCCUUUAAGUAGACAACAAUUAAGCCUCCUAGUCCAUCUCUACUUUCAUCUAGAGAAGUGUUACCACUGACCCGAUUAUUCGCUUUCGCAUAAACCAAGUCCACGUUAAACGUUCCCUAAACUCCUAAGGUCUCCAACUUCCUAGGGUUUCUAGGUCAUCCUUAGACUUUUGCUUUCCGCUGCUCUGAUACCAUUAUAUCUGUCACGCCCCAAUCCCCGCCAAUUUGGUCGGGUUCGGGUCACGUCAACAGACGCCGAACGGACAGAGCCUCCCCUGUCCGCCCAAGGCUCUAACAACAUGUAUAAAUAGGCAAUCAACAAGAGAUUUGCAUAUAUAAUACAAGGCUUGCACGAGGGCAAGCAACAACGAAAGCGAAAGCUCUAAGCUAAUUAAGCAACAUACAUGAUAUUUGAUUAGCAUUUAAACCAAAUUCAAGUAAAUCUAUUACAUUCUUGCAUCAUAUCUUUUUACAUUUAGUCAUCCACCAAAUACAUGAUUGUUUACACUUUUCAUUCCUAAAUCAACAAAAUAAAGUUGAUACAUGUAUAACAAAAGGGAAUGACUACAAAAUGCAUAAAGUCCCCGGUGGCCGCUACCUACGGCGCCAAACCCUUGCCUCGGUCCUCCGCCGCCCCGCUCGUGCUAGGACCUGUAGGGUUAGUGGUGUGAGAACUACAACGAAGUUCCCAGUGGGCUCGGCAUCCGACCUCGCCGACUUACCCACUAGGUCCAUCCAGGCAUAAGUAUUACAAAGGAAAGAGAAGUAACCAAUACUAAUGCAUCUAAUACCAUGCCUGCAAAAGAAUGUCAGUGGAUACAUAUACUCGAUGCAAUAAUAGAAAAUGCAUGCAUGCUCAAAUCUCAAAGAAGCUUUGGCUCUUACCCAAUCUUACCGGUUAACCUUGUUAACCCCAAUAACUCACCACCCAAAAUCCCUUAAUAGCGGGGGACUCGAACCUCCCUAGGGACCGUCAUCUGGGGGGACUUUACCACGCCCAGUGGUGACCAACUCCGGAGCGCACCGCUCGAGGGGGAGCGACCUCCCUCAAGCCAAGACGAAAUGUGAGUAUCGAUCUAAUCCUCAACUUGAGAAUUCAUAGCCACUAGUCACAAUGCCAAUGUCAUGAUAGGUCUCUACCUAUUCAUUCUUGCCACUCUCAAGGCUUUACCUUUGACGAUGUCAUAAUUGGUUAAACUAUGUUUAACGGUUCAUCUCUCAAUGCAAAUCUUGUUUCUAUAUCAAUGUCACCCUUGUUUUCUAUUGUCCAAGUCCAAUCUCACAUUCACACAACUUGAGGGUCCAAUCACACAUGUCCAUUUUGGUUCUAUUAUCCUCUAUGUUCAACUACAUUAGAAACAUAUAAAUGAAGUCAAACCAAGUUCCAUAUGUAUCUACCCUACUAUGCAUGAAUGGGUAUAUAUGUAUAUGCUCAAGAAUAGAGAAAACAGACAUAGAAGGGAAUCCAACGAUUCUGGCGUGCAACCCCCACCUCUAUUGGUCGUGUGGGUGCAGAAUAUGAAGGCCCCCGCACUUUACGAAAGCCGAUUCCGUGCCCUAUAAUCAAAAUAGCGCCAUAUUAGGCCUUUUUGUACAUGAACUACACUAUUAUUUUCGCAACGUUAAACGGAGUUGUCCCACUCAUUUAGGACACCUCCAAUUAGGUUUCUACGGGGUCAAUUUGUCCCCGAAAAACCCUAGGGCAAAAGCCCUAAUUUUCAAGCCCUAAUAUUGCCAUUUAGGGUUUCCCCAUGAAUCGAUCCCAAUCCUAAGCAAACAUUGGCCUAGGAUCACCUAAGAAGCACUCUAGUAUGUUUUCUAGAUCUUUGGUACCAACCCUAGGGCUCCAAACACCACUUCCAAGGAUUCACCAUGAGAGCACUUCGAGCUCUCAUGGGUACCAUGGUAUACAUGGCUCAAAAGAGCCUUUAAAGCCUCUAGGGAGCACAAAAUCCAAACCCUAGACUCAUUUCUACCAAAAACUCACCUUGGCCCAAACUCCUCCAAGUCAUUCUUGUAGGAGAGCUUGUAAAACCUACCAAAGCCUCCAAAUCCUCCUUCCCUUCACUUCUUUUUCUUCUUCUCCAAGCCCUAGAGCAAGAGUUCUAGAGAGAGAGAGAGGAAAUGGGUGAGAAGGGUGAAAAUGGCUGUGGGAGAGAGAGGAUGGGCCAUAUAUAGUGUUGUAACAAUUGCACUUAAGCCCCUCCAUUUGUUUCCCCUGAUCUACCCAGACUGGGCAUUUUUCACCUUCGGGGACCGGUCUCCCCGACCAGGGACCGGUUCCCGAACGGGGGAUUUUUAGGACUUAGCCAAAUUUUCGAGUUUUUCAGCUGUUGCGCAGCGAGGGACCGGUCUGCCCGUCAGGGACCGGUCUCCUGAGGACCAGUCUCACCACCAGGGACCGGAUGCCUCAGGAUUUCCUGGCAGGCUACGCGCAUGGGGACCGGUCUCUCCUUCAGGGACCGGUCCCCGAGAGCUCAAAAUCUGGGACUUAGCCAGAUUUUCAGAUUUGCUCUCCGGAUCACUUUUAGCUCUGUUUAUGAACUCUAAUGCACUUAGGGUCCAUUCUAACUCGUUCAAUUCCGCGUUCCGCUCGUUUUGACGGAACUCGGUACGAUUUACGAGGGAUGUGGUAUGUUACAGUAAAUGUGAGCUAAAAUCGAUAAACUCUAAGAAGAGUAGAGAAUUGGACAAGUGUGACAUGAAUCCUAGGUAUGGACAACUAGGAAAACAAGAACACUAGUGGCAUUCAACCUAGUGUCAUGGAACAUAGGUGAAUUUUGAGUGGGAUUAAACCUAGUAUUAAACAUAGGUUGAGAAUUGAACCUAGAGUCAAGUAAACCUAGAUUAUGACACGAGUGGCAUUGAACCUAGAGGUAAAUGAACCUAGGUAGCAAAGAAUAUAGAACCUAGUGUUGUAGAAUCUAGGCUAUGAACAUAGUGACAUUGGACCUAAGGUAUUAAACUUAGGUUGAGUAAUGGCUUGGACUUAGAUAGGUCGACACUAUAGGAUUUAAGACCAACCCUAGAGACAUGAGUGUCGAUUUCGAAAUCCCUAGGAAUGAAGGUUGCUAAUGCAGCGGAUAAGACUUGCGACUGAGUGCAAGUGAAUCAAGACUGUGGGUAUGUUGCUUCUCCUCGCCCAACAGUGAUUCAACGGGUAUGUUGGUUCUCCUCGCCCGGUAUGUGGAAUGGCUAAUGAGAAUCAUAAUUGCGGGUACGUUGGUUCUCCUCGCCCGUUGGUUCUCCUCGCCAGGCACAAGUAUGUUGGUUCUCGUCGCCCGGUAUGCCAUGAGAAUAGGGACGCGGGUAUGUUGGUUCUCCUCGCCAGUAGGUCCAUUGAGCGACUUGUGGUCCGGGGUUCGAUGGUGUAUCCUCACCCUGUGAGUAGACCUAUAGUCGAGAGGAUUUAAGGCUGAGGUGCAUAUGAGACUUCCUUCGCCUCGAGCUUGACAGAGCGCAGACUAUCCGCGGUGGAUUGACUCAAGACCAAGUCGAGUGGAUAGUUCGCUAAGGUGAAGUGACCUUAGGAAAGUAUGAUAAAGAAUAAAGAACAGCUAAUGCUAAAGAAUUGUAAGUAAUAAAGAAUGGCUAAGAAUCAAGAAUUGCUAAGAAUCAAGAAUGGCUAAGGAUAAAGAAUGGCUAGCGUUAAAGAACAGCUAGUGUUAAAGAAUGGCUAAUAAUAAUGAAUGGUAAAUGAUAGAGAGUAGAAUAAAUUAAUCUACUUAUAUGACUUGCAUGAUUUGCAUAUUGUAUAUUGUGAGGCAUAAACAUGAUAAAUAUUAGUUGCAUAAAUUAUAUAUAUAUAUAUAUAUAUAUAUAUAUAUACGUGGAUAUUUGUUGGACUAACAUGUUUGAAGUGCCUCCUUUGGACCUGGUGGGUCGAGCUUUUCCCUUGGGUGGCCGUAUCCACUGGGAACUAUAGACAAUAGCUCUCACCCCCAUGUUAUUUUUGGGGGUUACAGGUUCACACGUGAGCGGCACGGCGACGCGAGGCAAUGGCGUAGCUCCGUAAAUAACACCCUACCACCGAGACCAGAGAUAGUAGUACCCCGAGUAGGCUUAGAUAGGGGUAUAGAAAUGAAAACAACAAUGUUGUAAUAAAUUGUAGUAACUUGGAUUAUAUUUGGAAGCUAAUUGAGAAUUGAAAAUGUAAUAUGUAAAAUGUAUGUAAGUUGAAUGCUUGUAAUAGCAUAGUAUUUAUGUUUUCAUACCUUCCUUAUGCAAUCUUUGUUGAAUGCUUUUCCUGGUUGGAACCUCGCACAUUGUAUGGAUUGUGACGCCUUGGACGUACAGGAGAAACCCUGUGUGUUCGGCGGUCUGUUGGCGUGCCCGAAUCCGACCAAAGAGGCGGGCUCGGGGCGUGACAAUAAUUUUUUGGUAAAAAUUGAGAGUUAUAAACUAAUUUUUUAUACAUUUUAGGAGCUAAUUUUGUGGCUAUCGUUCAGACUAGGAGAGCCGUAGCAUAUCAUCUGACUAUUUCGACUGUCGUCCUAUUUUUUCGGUUUGUGAUAUAGGUGGGCUCCGUGUUGUCAAAAUUGACGGACUAAUUUCUAAGUCCAUAUUUUAUUAUUUAACCUGUGAAAUGAACUAUUGACAUAGUUGAAAUAAUAGUGAUAGUUUGACAUCUGCUAGUAGAAUAAAUUGAGAUAUAUAUAUAUAUAUAUAUAUAUAUAUAUAUAUANAAAUUCAAAUUCAAAAUUCUAAUUUCUAGUUAGUUUAAAAUUUUAAUUUUAAUAUUAUUUUUUAAUUUAAAUUUAAAAUUUUGAAUUUUUUUAGGGGCUAAAAUGAAAAAUGUGCAAAGUUUAGGGACCUAAAUUGAAAUGCCAAGGGUUUAUAUAUAAUUGUUCCAUAUUUAAUAGAAUAAUUAUUUAUUCAAUCUUUUUUUUAUAUAGAUGAAUUAUUGGUUUUGGUUUAAUUUUAGGCUGCGUUUAUUGGGGAUAUGAAUAAUUUUAUUUUUCUCUUUAAUUUAUUAAAUAAAUAGAUAUAUAAAUAAAUAUAUUAAUGUAAAUAUUAUUUUUAUUAUAACAUAUUUUUACUUAAAUCUUAGUAUAUAAUAUUAAUAUAAAUUAACUAAAUGUGAUAUACUAUUUAUUUUAUUAAAUUUUAUCAAUUUAUAUAUUAAUAUUUAAUUAUUUUUAUAUACUAUAUAUUUUUAAGAAUUUGUAUUGAAAUUUAUAAUAUUAUUAAUUAAAAUUAUAUAAGUAUAUUGCUAGUAUUAUAUUUUAUUCAUUACAUAUAUGAUAGAUAAACUAUAUUAAAUAAAUUGUUAAAAUAAAAUAAAUGAAAGAUACUGAUAUAAAUUAAAUUAUUACAUAAAAUAUUAUAAUAUUAUACAUUAUUAUAUAAAUUAAUCUAUAAAUAAUUUUAUAUAAAAUAUACUGAUACAAAUUAAUUAUUUUAUUUCUUGACCAUAUUUAGAUAUUGUUUUAGAAUUUUUUACAUAAACGUUUCUAAAGAUAUCAUCUAAAAUAUCCCUGAUUGCAUCCAAAUAUAAAUUUAUAAUUAUUAUAAAUUAUACCGAAAUAUUUUAUAUUCUCGGAAACAACAAAAAUUAUCAUUUAAAAUAAAAUUUAGUUCGUGAACUAAUAAACACAGUCUCGGGUUUUAAAAUAUUGUGAAGUACUAAAUUGUAAAUUUGGGAUAGUAGAGGGACUAUCCACACAUUUUACCCCUUAAACAGUUGAUGAGAGACAAAAGGGGAGGUGGAGACCGCGGAGACGCGAACGAGGCGAUUAUUCUGUUCGUUCGCAUAUAUGUACUUAUGCGGAAUUAAGGUGCGAAGGGAUUAGAUGGAUUUGGGCGGAGAAUGGACAGUUUAGAUGACAGCUGAGGAUGCAGUCGUAUGCGACUGUUUCGUAUGGAAGUGUUGCCACGGACGUCAAUGGAAUAUUAAUUUGGAGUUUGGGGUGAGUUUCGAGUCCGGCCUAAAGCCCAUUUAAAGGCCCAAUUGAAAUGAGUGGGGAAACAAUUGGGCCUAUAUACGCUUUGGGCCUUGGUUUAGAGUUUAUUGCUAUUUAGGGGUGAGCACUAUUUGGUUCAAACUAUAGUUAGUUAAUUCGAAUUCGGCAAAAAUUCGGUACGGGUAUAACACGCAUAAAAUUUAUUUUUAAAUUUUUAAAUUUGUUGAAAAAUUCGGCUUAAAAAACGAAUUCGGUAUAAAAUAUAAAAUAUAAAAUAUAAGAUAUAAGAUAUAAGAUAUAAGAUAAUCUAUAUUAAACAUAAAAAUUAUAAGUUUUUUAUUUAGAUUUUCAAUAAUUCGCGAAUUAUUCGGCUGGCCCAAAAAUUCGCAAAUAAUUUUCUUUCUUUGUAAAAAAAUUCGUAAACGGACCGUUUAAUUCGAAUUUUGAAUAAUUUGUGUAUAAUUCGCGAAUUAACUAAUAAAGGUUUAAACCUAGUUAUCGAACGGAACUAAUCAAAAUUAGUCAACUUAGUUUGAUUUGACACAUAAUUCGGUUUGGUUCAAUUCUCAAAGUGAAAAAGAUUGGAAAAAUUGGAUAAAUGGAAUAUAUCAAAAUUUCAGUAAAUUCAAUAUAUAUUAUAUAUGUGUACUAACUUUAAAUAAUAAUAAAAUAAUUAGAUUAAUAAUUUUAAUAUAAAAUUAAUUGCAAUUAUAUCUUAUUUUCAGUAGUUUAAAAAAAGAGUCGUGCUACCCAUACACCCCAUUUAGAGUUGUAGAUCCUACAACUCCUUGAUCUAACGGCUGAUAUAAACUUGGUUUGAAAAAAAAAAAAACCAGUGUUAACCUCACUUCCACAUUUUAUCCCCUCACGUUUUCCCUCUUUUGCCCUAAAUUUUGGCGCCAGCGUGCUAAAGAGAGAGAGAGGCGAGCGCGGUAGCGUGAGAGAGAGAGGCGAGCUCGAGCGGGAGCGGGAGCAGGGCGCGAGAGAGAGCGAUAAGCGGGAGCGGGAGCAGGGCGCGAGAGAGAGCGAGGGCAUGGCGCGAGAGGGAGCGAGAGGAGUUGUGCUCUGCUAGAAACAGGGAGAACGAGAGGAAGAGAAAGAAGCGCGAAGGUGGAUUCUGCGAUCAAAUUGGACGCGGCAAGUACGGAGGCGACAAUCGAGCAUGCGGCAAAAUUGAACGACAUGGUUUACCCCGAGCACAACGAUUCANUAUGUAUAUAUGUAUAUAUAUAUAUAUAUGUAUAUAUAUAUGUAUAUAUGUAUAUAUAUAUGUAUAUAUGUAUAUAUAUAUACAUAUACAUAUAUACAUAUAUAUAUACAUAUAUACAUAUAUAUAUAUAUAUAAUGUGUGUGUGUGUGUGUGUGAGAGAGAGAGAUAUUUUUCUAAAGGUCAGUAGACAGCUACAAAUAGUGCAGACUAUAACUGUAAUUUGGACAGCAUGACAGUAUUAUCAUGAUCUGUUUGAUCAUCGUAUUUGACCACCGCCUGCAUGCUAUAUUAAGUUUGACAGUGAAACUAUACUCAGUUGGAGUAGCGCCCCAGGAGUGCCACUCCGGAGGUUGGGCUAUAAAAUAUUAUUAUGGCAUAGGCCAGACAGUAGAUUGCUUGGUAGCGGACCACUAUAGCUGGGUGCUGGGCACGAGACGGUGCUGGUUAGACCUGACUGUGGAGUCGGUCACUAUGAUUGGACAUUGUUGCAGUAUUUUAUUUAGUCUCUAAUUGAUGCAUGCAAAAUAUAAUUUACAAUUUCAAAUAAAUUGUAGAGGCAUGAUAGUAGCAGUUAUUUUCAGCGAUCAUUCAUAUUAGUACAUGUUCCUUCAUAUUACUCAGUAUUUACUAUUUUUGCUUCUUAUGGAGCUAGUUGUGUAGGCCGUCGACGUUGACGAUCGUACCCACUGGGAACUAUUGAUUAUAGUUCUCAUACUCUUUUAUUUAAUAUUUUAUUUCAGAGCGUUCGGCACUAGUGACUGAUCGAGAUAAGGGGAUCGGGAAUAGUUAGCAUCUCCUACCCUUCUUGUGUGUGUAGUUGGACCACCUAUUAGUGAGCAGUCUGUACAGUGUUUUGAUGCUUGGAGUGGUCAGAGAUGUUGUACUAUUUUAAAGAUUGGUGUGGUGAUGAUUGUAGAUCGUUACAAUAUUGCUAUAGUAUAUAAUUUUAUUGUUCCUCUGAUACCUAUCAUUGUUAAAUUUUAGUUAAUUUUGUUGAACAAAUUUUGUUGACUCUUCGUAUGUAUAAGAUGUAUCCUUGUACAUGCGGGCGGGUUUGUUGAUGUACGUAGCCCGAACUUUUGCUGUAAUCUGAGGCGUGACAGAAUGGUUCACCGUGUUCAACUUAUUCUAGCUCCACCUAGCCUGCUCGCAUGCAUGGCGCUGAUAUAGCCCCUACGUAGCAAAGAUAGGGUCAAAAUUUCAAUUAUAAAUUUGGCGGGGCUAUUUGUGAAAAUAAUUUUGAGUCGUGCUACCCAUACACCCCAUAUUGAGUUGUAGAUCCUACAACUCUUGGAUCCAAUGGGUGAUAUAAACUUGGUUUUUUUAAAAAAAAAAAAAACAGUGUUAACCUCACUCCCACAUUUUAGCCCCUCACCUUUUUCUCUUUUUCCCUAAUUUUUGGCGCCAGCGAGCUAAAGAGAGAGAGAGGCGAGCGAGCCAGCGACCUAAAGAGAGAGAGGCGAGCGAGCGAGCGACCGAGAGAGAGCGAGCGACCGAGAGAGAGAGGAGAGCUCGAGCGAGAGCGGGAGCAGGGCGCGAGAGAGAGCGAGGGCAGGGCGCGAGAGGGAGCGAGAGGAGUUGUGCUGUGCUAGAAAUAGGGAGAAUGAGAGGCAGAGAAAGAAGCACGAAGGCUGAUUCUGCUAUCAAAUUGGACGCGGCAAGUGCGGAGGCGACAAUCGAGGAUGCCGCAAAAUUGAACGUCGUGGUUUACUCCGAGCACAACGAUUCGUACACUGCCACAUAUAUAACCAGGUAUGAGAUGUUUAAUUUUUUAGUAAAUUAAUAAUUUUUAAUUGUGAUGAAUUAUUUGAUCAAUUUUAUCACUGAUUUGAUGUAUGAUCUAUAUGUUAAUAGAUAAUAUAUUUUUAGGGCAUAGUAGAAUCUUUAGAUGUCUAAAUUUUGACAAAUAGUUUUUCCUGCUCACUAUUAUUCUAAUUUAGUAUUCCAACUCUAUAUAAUGUCUUACAGGUGAGCAAUUUACUUAAAUUUGUUUAGUUGACUGAUUAUUUGGAUUUAAUAUUUUUGAGAUGGAUGAAGAAAGACACAGUGAGAUCAGGGAUGUAAAUAUAUCGGCACCAGAAAUUAGAAUGGCUUUUAUCAAUUUUGAUGCCGUUUUUAAUUUCUAUAAGCAUUAUGCACAAGAAAUAGGAUUUGCAGUUGUAAAGAGGUCAACAAAAAUGACAGAUGGCAAGGCUACAUAUGUAAUAAUCGCAUGCUCUCGUCAUGGAAAAAUGCAUCGGACCGUAACGAAUAUUCGUCCUCGUCCAUCGGUAGCAAAGACAAACUGUCCUGCGAGAAUAAAUGUAGUAAUAAAUGUGGAUUCAUCUUGUGUAAUAAGCAAAAUUACACUUGAGCAUAAUCACACUCUUAAGUCCUUAUAAGUCUUGAUUUUUUCCCUGCAAUCGAGUUAUAGAAACAAGCGUCAAGAGGCGGCUUGAUCUUAAUGAUCGUGCUGGAAUAAGAUUGAAUAAAAGUUUUAAUUCUAUUGUUGUUGAGGCUGCUGGAUAUGGAAACUUAACAUUUGGAGAGAAGGACGCUCGUAAUUAUAUUGAAAAAGCCCGUCGGUUACAACUUGGUGAAGGUGACGGCGAAGCAAUUUGUAAUUUUUUUAGAGAAAUGCAAGAGAGAAAUGAAAACUUUUUUUAUGCCAUAGAUCUAGACGAUGAUUCUCGGCUUCGCAAUGUGUUUUGGGCAGAUGCUCGGAGUAGAGCGGCGUAUGAAUGUUUUGGAGAUGUAAUAACUUUCGACUCGACAUAUCUAACAAAUAAGUACGAUAUGCCAUUUGCUCCUUUUGUUGGUGUUAACCAUCAUGGACAGUCGAUCUUGUUGGGGUGCGGCCUACUCUCCACUGAAGAUACAGAAUCGUUUGUAUGGCUCUUUCGGAAUUGGUUGUCAUGCAUGUCCGACCGUGCCCCGAAAGCAAUAAUCACAGAUCAAGAUAAAGCGAUGCAAAAUGCUAUCGCACGUGUCUUUCCUAAUACUCGGCAUCGAUGGUGCUUAUGGCACAUAACAAAAAAGAUACCGGAAAAGCUAAGAAGCUAUGGCGAAUAUCAUUCGAUGAAGAGCGUGAUGAUGGAUGCUAUUUAUGAAUCAUUGACAGAAAUUGAAUUUGAGAAAAAAUGGAAGAGAAUGAUAGCUUGUUAUGCACUUGAAAAUAAUCAGUUGUUGUCAGGCCUGUACGAGGAAAGACAUAAGUGGAUACCAGCUUAUGUGAAGGAUACAUUUUGGGCUGGAAUGUCCACAACACAGCGUAGCGAAAGUAUGAAUGCAUUUUUUGAUGGGUAUAUGAACUCGAAAACUUUAUUAAAAUAAUUCGUUGAGCAAUAUGAAAGCGCAAUAAAAAAUAAAGCUGAAAAAGAAGUAGAAUUAGACUACAAAUCAUUUAGCUUAGUCAUCCCGUAUAUCAGCCGUUAUGCAUUAGANCGGCAUAGAUUUCGGUAUGAUGUAUGGAUCCGUUUGCAUGGCUUACCACUCCAGUGCGACAGGUAUCAAGAUUUACAAACUAUUGUUUCAAGUUUUGGAGAAUUUAUAGGUGGAGAUGAGAGAAGCCGGCUUCGUCAAGAUGUAAUGUUCUAUCGGUUGUUGAUCAAAUGUGCUGACCUCCUAAUGAUUCCUGAACGUAUUACGCUCGUGUUGGGAAAUCGGGAAUGGAAAAUAAAUGUUGAAGUAGAGUCAUGGGAAUAUCACCACUGGACCGGCAGCCCUUAAUGUGCUGCCAAUGCCACCUAACUGUGCGUUUUGCGGUGGUAUAUUUCGCAAGAAAGUAGUCAUAAUUUUGUUAUUUUAUUAAUAUGGUGUGUACAUGCAGUGACAUCAUGUACACUUAUUGUGUG
rnacentral:lncRNA from 1 species